rnacentral:lncRNA from 1 species
CUAUAUAACUCGAAUACAGCAACUUAGCAGCUUCAAAACAGAUAAAAACACAAACACAAAUAAUAGUAUAUAAUAUUUUUAAUGUAACGAAUUAUAUUUAUUAUGUAUAAAGUAUUAAUUUUAUGAAAAUAUCACCAUCAAGUAGAUAUGAUUAUUAUUGCACUACAACAAAAACGGUCUAUAGCGACACUUUUAAAUAUCGGUAUAUAUAAAAAAAAAAUGCUGCUGGCUAAAUUACCGACACUUUUAAAAAGUGUUGUUAUAUGUGGGGUCGCUAGGUAUAUAGUGACAGUUAAAGAGUGUCGCUAUAACCUAAAAAAGUACGACUAAUUUAGCAAUAUUUAUUUAAGCAUCUAGCAACCGCCGGAACUCUAUCUCGUUGGCCGCGGUGGCGGAGGAGGACGAGAGGGAAAGAAAAGGAGAUGGUAAUCGAUUUUUCUUUUUUUUUUUCUUUUCUAUUUAGAAUCGGGCCAAAUGGGUUGUGUUGUAUGGGUUGAGUAUAGUAACCUUUUAUUUUUUGUUGGAUUCGGCUUUAUAGUUAGGCAUUAGUAGAUGUUUUUUUAAAUUUUGACAUAAAUGGAACACUUAGACAAAAGUGUCCCAAACAUGUGUCCCUAUAACCUAAUUUUGUUGUAGUGUUGAUAGUUUAUAUAUUUUAAGAAAGAAAAUAAAAAAUAUUCCUAAUUCAAGAAAAUAGAAAAAAUAGUUGAGAAUCCUAAAUAAAGAAUUAAAAAUUUUAAAAUUUCUAUUGUAAAUUGAGAGAGAGAGAGAGAGAGAGAGAGAGAGAGAGAGAGGGGGGAGCAUCUUAAAAAGAUCCCCAAGAAAAUAAAGAAAGAAGGGAAGAGGGCUGGCGUUUUUUUUUUGUUUUUUUUUUUUUUUCAAAUUUUCAUACAAUUUGUUUAAAACAAAUAGUUUUUUAAAAGUUUAUUUUUCAAAUUUCAUUGCAAAUUAAUCUUUUUAUGCGAUGUAUCAUGCACGUCACUUCCGCGUCCAUGGCAUGUCCACGUCGUAUACAACUUUGAUGCAGGCACAUGGCGUUUUCCAUGCAUCUGAAAUGUGAAUAGAAGAAACGUUUGCUUGUUGAAUUUUUGAGAUUUGAAAAUCAGUUGCUGUAUCUGUUUUGGCAGAGGAAGAUCCAUGAACAAAUCUAUCUUAGUUUCGGAAUUUUUUGGCGACAAUGACAUGCACAUCUGAUGUUGGACAGGAGCCAGGGUCACGACGACUUAGCAAUUGUGAACGGGAAAUUGUGAUUCUCUAUUAAUACUUGUGAAUGCAUAUUUUUAUUCGAGUUAAUAUCAAAUUUAUUCUUUCAAAAUUUUUUUGAUUUGUAAAUCUAUUCCUCCAAAAAUUCUGUUUCGUUCAUAUAUGUCCCUACUUCGUUUAGUUUACUAUUAGUUUUUUAAUGGCGGGUGCGUAAAAUAAUUAUUUUAUCUUAACAAAUUUGCUUCUAUAGAAAUCUAUCCUUUUUUUUUUUCUCUCUUUUUCCUCGCCUUCUCCGCAGCACAUGCGGCAUGCCUCAUUUUUAUCGUGACCGAGUGCCUCGCCUUCGACGUCGCCGCCGUCGUAGGUCUCGCCGUUGCGAUGGAUAAAGAAGAGAUCGGGGUGAGAAAGAUAAUUUAAUUCAAUAUUAGAAUACAAAUUAUAUAUUUGAGGGACAAAAAAAAAAGUCAUUUUACUCUUUGCUGCCAGCCGAAUUCUAUACCCCUUGACCCAGUCAAAGUUUUCCCUAGAGAAGCGUGCAGGGAUUUGAUACGGCUACACGUGAUGACCCUUAAAGUUUGUGCCUUUCGACAGAUCAAGCGAUUCGACUGAUGAGGGAUCGGACUAGCUGAGUUCGAGAACUAUAGAAUCGGUACGGUUGAAUGAACCGAAUCAGGAACUGCACAAUAUCUUUAGGUCGGCUGAUGAGCCGAAUGCCCUUUUGUAUAUGUUGCUUAAACUUCGGAACAAAUUCAAAAGGAUGGCGGUACGUAAAAUCUACUUUAAAACUACUCCUAAUAAAAGCAGUAGAUACAGAAAGAAAAGAUUACAGGUAGACUACUCCUAAGAAAAGCGAAGAAAAUGCGUAGAAUUGAAAAGUGGUCUUCUGUUCGCAAGGGAAAAGACCCCUCUUCCAGGCGUUACCUGUUUAUUUAUACUCCGCGUAUUGUUUUUUAGUUAUUUACACGAUCGGCCACUUCUCUAAUUUCGUGGGCCACUAUAAGCCGAUCUCAACCGCUCAAACCGCCUGCGGUUGAUUACCAUUUGUUUUUCGCUCCCGGUGCACCAAAUGUCUAGCUUCGGAGUUCCUGGCUGUACCGUGCACUGUUUUACCAUGUGGCGCCAAUUUAUUGGCACCAACAAUCGCCCCUCGGCAGCUCCCAAACAGACGGUUCAGAAGCUGAUGAAAUUCUCUCUAAAGGCGCGAGUUUCGAAAUUAUCAUUUCGAAUCGCCUUUGUACUGUCUUUUUCUCAGUCGUCAUUUCACCUUUGACGAUCAUGAUCUCCCCAUUCCUUUAUGUCUUUUCUGCGGCAUUAAUUAGGUUAUUUAUUGCCGCCGUAUUUUCAUCCAUUUUUCGAAAUUCUAUCCGACGGCUCUUUUUCUCUUUGUCUCUUUUGUUUUCUUCUUCUCCGUGCUUUCUCUCUUCUUUCUUCUUCUUUUGCUUUCUUUCUUCUUUCUCUUCGCCUGAGAAUCCCCUUUUGUCCUUUCUCCUUCUUUUGCCUUCUCCAAUGGUUCUGCUUCAUUCUCUUCCUUCUUCUCCGACAAUAUGUCGAAUCGGACCCCUCUCGGUUUAUAUUGGGUUCUUCAUUUACAGAAGAUCCUAUCCCUAAGGAUUUCCCUUACUCAAGUGAAGGUCUUCCCUUAAUGGUUGAUGCCAUUCACUUGCAUUCUUGGUAUGCUUCGACAUCGACGGAAAAAAGCCUCCAGACUUGGCCGAGCAUUUCGGAAGCAUAUCCCGCUUGGUUAGAUCAUGUCGAAACGUCAUAUGUCGAUCUCUAGCGCGAGGUUGGCAUUUAUGAAGCCAUUCAGCUAUCUAGAAUGCCUCCUAUAGCCACAUAGUGCGAGGUUGGGAUUUAUGAAGCCAUUUAGCUAUCUAGAAUGCCUCCUAUAGCCGAUAACUUUCUUUUGGCUGUGGCUCUCUAUUUUUGGUCCUGUUAGGGUCAAUAAUGGCUCGCCACGUGGCAUAUCGGUGCACGGUUUAGCCUGGAAUUUUAGGAGCCAAGAUUAAAGGAGUUUUUGGUGCACCGAGAGUACCGACAAAUUAAUAGUAGUAACCGCAAGGCAUAACUACAAGCGGUUAUGUACGGCUUUGAUCGGCUUGAAGUGGCCCGCAAAAAUGGGGAAGUGGCCGAUCAUAAGUGGCCCGCAAAAAUAGGAAAGUGGCCGAUCAUGAAGCAAUAACUGAUCAACAUGAGCGGACUAUAAAUAGGCAAAUAACGUCCAGAAAAGAGGUCUCUUCCCCGAGAACAGAAAACCACUUUUAUUUCCCUUGCAUUUUCUAUUAUUUUUUAUAGGAGUAGUCUACUUGUAAUCUUUUCCUUCCACACAUCUACUGCUUUUCGUAGGAAUAGUUCUAAAUAAGAUUCCUUGAGUCUGUAUGCCUGAGGGCACACUCGCGUUUGUAUAAGCCUUCAGAUUCAAUUCAAAUACAUAAAGGCAUUCGACUCUUCCAGCUGACCAAGCACUGUGCAUUUCAUUCAUUCGGCUCUUUCAGCCGAACUUGGCUGAUCUGAUCUCUCGUCAACCGAAUCGCUUGAUUUGUCGAAGGGCGCAAACUUCGAGGGUCGUCACGUGAGGCCGGAUUUAAUUCCUGCACGUUUACCAAGGAAGGCUUUUGACCAGGAAAACGGCAGAGGAAUUCAGUUCCUAACAAAUUUUUGGCACUCCUAGUUGGACAUCAUUUAGGUAAAUGUUCUUGACCAGGAAUUAUGGCAGAUGAUAAUGCCAUGAACUUGCGUAAUAGGGUCAUGCCUCGAAAUUCCGGGAACGACCAAGCUAGCAAUUCAGAUAUUGCAGGUGAUCGCCAAGCAAUUUUACCAGCCAAAGCUGAGGCUAGUGGUCAAUCUGACCAACAAGAGCCAAGCCUGGCUUAAGCACUUGGACAAAUGACGCAGGUCCUACAAGUAUCAAACCAAAAUAAUUACAGGAGUACUGCUCGUUUAGAUGCAGUACUGGCCGCAAUUACGGCCUCCAAUAAAAAUAUUGCCCAAAUAAGGCAAUUACUAACUCGAAACGAACAACCUAUGGUAGGUCUACAAGGACCUAUAACAGCACCGGUAUUACAAAAUCCUGUGACACCAGUGAAUGAUCAGCCUCAACACCAGGGGGCACAUUUUCUAGCUACUUAUAGACCGACUGCUUUAAAUGCCGGUCAACAACCGGAGAUAGCCUGGGGGUUACCUCCUCCUCCGCCAUUGGCAACGUAUCAGCCCCAGAAUGUAGGGGUUAGGCUAGGGGCAAGCCCCGAAUGCUGCUAUACAGGGGGUUAACUCUACAGCUCAAAAUGUGGGAUUACCACAAGGACCGAACCCGAUUCAAGCACAGGCUCCUGUUCCCAUAUAAGGGAACAAAAAUAAAAUUUAUGCACAAAUUGAGGAAGCCAUCCGAAAUACCUUCGGAGUCGGAGCAAGGCCGGCAAUGCGGUUUAUGUUUAGAUCCUCUUACCCUGUAAAAAUAGAUGUAGAACAUCCUUAUCCGGCAAAUUAGAAAAUGCCGAAAUUUGACAAAUUUUCGAGCGACGAGACCGAGAAUACGGUCGAACAUGUCGUACGGUUUACGGCUCAAUGUUGAGAAGCCGCAGUUGAUCCUUUCUUAAAACUUAGGUUAUUUAAUAUCUCGUUAACCAAGAUUGCAUUUACUUGGUAUACGAGCUUACCAGCCAAUUCUGUUCGAGAUUGGGACGAAUUGGAAAGAAAAUUUCAUGAACAGUUUUAUAGAUCAGAGCUGGAACUUUCUGUUGCUGAUCUGGCCUAAUUCAGGCAAAGAACAGGAGAAUCGGUUGAGGAAUAUCUGAACCGAUUCAAAGCGGCAAGAAGCCGUUGUUUUGUGAGGAUGCCAGAGUCCGAAUUUGCCAAAAUGGCAUUCAAUGGUCUACAUUUCAAAAUUAAAGACCAUUUUGAAGAAAAGUAUUUCCCGAAUUUGUUCGAUUUAGGAGUUCAGGUUGCUUAAUAUGAGCAAUUCAGAAAAGAAAAUAAUAAAGGUUGGCCUAGAUGGAGCCGAAGUAAAGAAUGGAAUAAAGAGAAAGAGAAAAACAUUUCUUUCCUUGAAGAGUCUUCGACUCAAAAUGAGCCAGACACGUCCGAAGAAACAGAGGAUUCGGCUGAUAAAGCCGAAGUAUAUGCGGUAGAAAUGGUAAAAAAUCGUCAACCAUACAAGUGUGUUGUGCUAAAACUUGCUAAAUCCAGUGAGGCGAAAGCACGAGUGGCAGCAUAUACCUAUUCUUUCGAUGUGUCGAAGACCGAUCUAAUUUUUGAUCGGUUGUUAAAAGACGGACGGAUUCAGCUUCAGGAGGGUCAAACUAUACCUUCUAAAGAAUAGAAAAGAAGAAGAUAUUAUAAAUGACACCAUUCAUGUAGCCAUAGAACAAAUGAGUGUACUGCUUUCAAAAGGCAGAUUCAAAAGGAAAUAAAUAAAGGUCGGCUCAUAUAUUAUAAAUGGUACCAUUCUUGGAGCCGAAGCUGAUCGGAUUUCGGCCAUGGGGAACCGUCUUCGACGCUUCUUCAAAAGUAAACUUCAGGCCGAAUCACACAGGGGUAGUGGGCUUUCGUUUUACGACGUCUUGGGAUGUUUUUUGUGAGCAAAUCUUCAUUCCGAUGACGUCACAAGCACUUCGUAAAAUUCUUCAUCAUGAAGGUAUGCUGCUUACUAAUUGAUCUGUUUCUACGUACGCUUAAUUUUCUUCUUUGGCUCAUUUUGUUUGUUUUGUUGCAUUGCCUUUUUCAAACAAGGACAUCUCGUCAAUCCCCCAACACAAGAAGAAUCAGGGGAGAACUCUAAUCGAGACCCUGAUGAUUCCCCUCGCCCUUCUGUAGUGAGUUUCAAUUUUAACACGUUUUCUUUUAUGGGGUGCAUUUAACUCACAUAUUUUUCUCUUUUUUUUUUAUAUAUAUAUAUAUAGCCGAUUCUGGCUACUUCAUCGGUUCCCUGUUCAGAGAAACAGCUGAUAGAAGCCGAACAAUCCACUCUUCCACCGCACCCAAAAUGGCGUUAAGUUUGUUACGAAGAAGGUUCAUUCUCCAAUUCCUACACUUGUCGAAGAUGUAUCUUCGGUUGAUGCUCCACCAAUUGCGGAGAAGGACCUUCCUCAAUCGUCCUUAAUUAACCAUGUUUCAGCCGAGAUAAAUCCUCAGCCUAUUCUGAUUGAUUCUUUUUCUUCUAAUUGUUCGAUUGGAUCACCUCCACUGUCUCCUUCGACGAAACAAACGCCUUUGGAAAGAAUCUCUCGUGUCCGUUUUGCUUCAUCUUUGGGUAGAAAAAUGUCUGAUGCUGAGAGACAAGCUCGCUGGGAAGCUUGUCUUAACAAAAAACGAGAAGCAGAACGAAAACAAGCAGAAGCUGAGAAAGAUGUAGAAGAGGUAAGGAAGAAGAAAAAAGAGAGAAAGAUACAAGAAGCUUCGAAAAAAGAAGAAAGAAGAAGUGAAGAAAAAGAAAGAGAAGAAGAAGAGGAAUAGGGGAGAGAAGAAGAAAGGGGAAAAGAAAGUGAAGAGGAACAAAGAAAAGGAAAUGGUAAAGAAAAAGGAGUAGGCACGGUCUUUCCUACCGAACCUUUAGCUGAAGCUUCAGCAUCGGCUUCUUUACCAUUGUUUGAACCAACGGAUCCGUUUACUGUUUCUCUCCAAAACUUGAUAGCUUCGAGCCCGAAUUCAAAUGAAGAAGAAGACCUUUCUACCAUUAUAUCGGCUGAAACUCAAUAAAAACUAGAUGAGUGCCUAAGAUUGUAUAGCAGUGGUCUUUCUACUUUGGCCCGAAAUACAGAACAAUUUGAUCAGCUCGAGGCACUUCUUCUUGAUCUUGUAGAUCAGCCGGAACUCCCUCCCGCAGGUAGAUGUUUUGCGAAAACUUUUUCAAUUCACCUCUCUUCUUUUUUGACCAGCAACAAACUCUUUCUGCUGAGUUUCUAUCUUUGGAUCACCACUUCAACCCGGUCAAUCAUUUCAAAACAAAAAUUCUCGAAGUGGCAAUUCCAAUUACUGAUCUAAGCCAAAAGGAUAGUUCUCUGGAAAACCAAGAAUCGGCCCUUCGGCAGCGUAUCACCAUUCUCAAAGGAGAACUUGCUGCAGCCGAAUCGGUUUUAGCUCAAACAUCCGAGCAACGCACCCUUAUACAAUCUCAUCUGAAGACUAAGAAAGAUGAAAGGGCGCUUUUACAUGACCAGCUCUCUCAACUCUACAAACUUCACCCUUUGAUGAAGCGCAGAAAGUAAGCAGCCGACCUGGCACUGUCAAAUCUUAGAAGCCAAAUGGAAUCAACUUAAGACCUUAUUGUCUUGACUCCUUUUUUUCUUUUUUAGACUCAGCUGUUGCAUGUAUUUAUUUGACUCUAACUUUAUUCAUUUUUCCAUAUGGAUAGGUAGUAUUUCCUCAAAUAUUUUUCAUUAAUUGGUUUGUCGUGUUCUAACCCAUCUAGAUUUUUUAAGAAGUAUGCAUUACCUCUUGUGACUCUGUAAAUAUGAAAUAGUCCUUCCCAGUUUGGGCAUCAUUUUUCAUACCCUCAGUUUUUUCGACCGAUUGGAAGUAUUAGUCUUAAAACUAAAUCCCCAACGGAGAAGGAUUUGGUCUUGACUCUUAUGUUAUAUGCUUCGAAAUGCUUUUCAUUCCAUUUCCUCGGGUGUUUUCCAAUAUGUCGUUUCAUGAGAUUUAUAAUAACUUUAUUCACAGCUUUAGCUUGCCCAUUAGCUUGAGCGUAAUAAGGCGAUAAAUGAUGCAGCUUGAUUUUCCUUGAUUCUAUGAACCGAGAGAAUUGUUUCCCAGUAAAUAUUGUCCCUUGAUCAGUUGUAAUCAUCUCGAGAAUUCCAAAACGAUGGAUUAUAAAAUCUCCUACAAAAUCUAUGAUAUCCUUCUAAGUGCCCAAUCUAGUAGGCUUUGCUUCUACGCACUUAGUAAAAUAGUUAACGGCCACUAUCAAGAAUUUAUGACCAACCGAGGAGUUCGGCUGAAUAUCUCCAAUCAAAUCCAUAGCCCAUCCUCGAAAAGGCCAAGGUUUAAUGAUUGUAUACAUCUCAAAAGCAGGGACCCUUUGUAUGGAGCUGUGAAACUGACAAGCUUGACAUCUUUUGGCAUAUUUUAUACAAUCUUCAUGUAUGUUGGCCAAUAAUAUGCUAGUUGUCGAAUUGUCCAUCUUAGUCUCCUUCUAGCUAAAUGUGCUCUGCACAAAGCUUCAUGGGCUUCGCCCAUAACUAAUAAAGCCUCUUCAGGUCCUAUACAUCUCAAUAGUACUUCGGUUGUUCUCUUAUAGCGUUGCCCAUUUAAUAGACAAUAGCCAAGUGCUUUUUUUUUUCCUGAAAAUGAUAUUCAACCCGUUUAUUACGAUCAUCCAAAAAUUCGAUUAACGACCUUCUCCAAUCUUCUUGUGUUUCGACUGGAGCAAUCAUCAUCGGUUCUCGUAUAUGAACCGAUGGUAAAAGCCUUCUUUCUAUUUUCACCUCAUUCGUUUUCGGCUCUUUAUACCCUGAAGCCGAUUGAGCCAAAUCAUUGGCUUGCUCGUUUUCUUCUCUUAAGAGAUGCACGAACUCUGCUUCCCCAAAAUUACAAAGUAAUUCUAUGGUUUUCUUUAAAUAAUUUUGUAGAUUUUGAUUUUCAUAUCGGUAUUCCCCAUUUACCUGUUUGAUUACUAGUUAUGGAUCACCGAUGAUUUUAAGUGAACGUGCUUCCAAUUCUUGCAAAAUUUUAAGGCCGAUUAUUAAAGCCUCGUAUUCGGCUUGGUUAUUAGAACAGCCGAAAUUCAAUUCAAAAGCAAACUGGUAAGUGUAGUCUUCAGGAGACCAUAUAACAAUUCCGGCCCCUGCUGAUUCGGCUCUUUUUGAUCCAUCAAAAUAGAGUAUCCAAGGUUGACAACCGACCAAGCUCUAUACUGGUUCCUCAACCUCGACACAUGAAUGAUCAGCCAAGAAAUCAGCUAUUGCUUGCCCUUUAACUACUUUUGCCGGCACGUAAUUAAGAGAAAACAUAGACAACGCUAACAUCCAUCGUCCGAUCCGUUCAGAGCCAGAUGUCAUCAUCACCUUCAUUCUUGGGAGUAGGCCUGACUUGCCAGUUUCUUUUUUGAAUUUGGUGCUGUUCUGACUCCUCACUCCUUUCAACUAGUUGUCCUUUUCAACCGGUUCUUUUUGAACAUAUUCUUUCUCUCUAUUGAACCGGUUUCACUAUUUCUCAUUUUACUUUAUUUUUUUGGAUCGGUUAUUUUUUCUAUAUUGAAUUGGUUUCUCUUUCUCCUCAUUCUUGGGUCUAUCCACCUCUCUUUUAAGUUGACUAAAAAAGGGAAAAAGAUUUGACAUUUCGGUUUUCUCUACUUUUCUGACUCUUUUGUUUUUCCUCCAUAAUUAAUUUUUUUUUCGGUUUUCUCUUCUUUCCUUACUCUUUCGUAUUCCCACCCCAAUUAAUAUUUUUGGGGUUUUAUCUUUGUCCCUUGUUGUUUUGUCUUCCCUCCCCAAUUAACAGUUUUCAUUUGUUACAAUGCUGCAACCAUCUUCUCCAUUCUAUUGUUCCAACUCCCCUCCCAUCCCUUUCCCUCCCCUCCCCUCUUUUUCCUUCGAUCUUCUCUCUCCUUUCCUUUCCCCUUCCUAAGAUUUUGAUCAUUCUCCAUUGCCGACGUCGAAGCCUACGACAGCGCCACCGCCACUGCCUCCGCCACUACUUCUCACGUUCGAGAGGCAGCAGCCAUCAUCGACGUCACUUAGAAGAAGGUAAACAGGACAUUACUAAGAUCAACGACAUUUCUAUGCUCGGCUAAUGCAAUACUGUCGAAACCUUAGGCUUCUCCUCCGUCGCCUUCAACACCAUGCUUUUUGAGGCCUCAAUGGACAUCGAUGAUGAGAUCCAACACUCAAAUUAGUCUGAUUUUCAUCAAAUAUUGUUAUUCCUCUUCACCCUCUCAACAGAUAUUGCUAUUUUUCUUCAACUUCUCAUCAGAUAUUGCUAUUGCUAUUUCUCUUCACCAAAUAUCGCUACUCCUUUUCACCUUCUCACUAGAUAUUGCUAUUUCUCUUCACCUUCUCACCAGAUAUUACUAUUUCUCUUCACUUUCUCUUCACCAGAUAUUGCUAUUUUUCUUCACCUUCCUACCAGAUAUUGCUAUUUCUCUUCACCUUCGCACCAGAUAUUGCUAUUUCUUUUCACCUUCUCUUUUUUUUGGAUUAGUAAAUGGUAAAUAUUUUAAGCACAUUUUGUAUUCUAGUUUUUUUUCCUUUAAAUUUCUAUUGGCCGCAUAUCGCAGGUCCGUACACUAGUUUGAGUACAUGCAUAUAUAUAUAUAUAUAUAUAUAUAUAUAUAUAUAUAUAUAUAUAUAUAUAUAUAUAUAUAUAUAUAUAUAUAUAGUAGGGCUGCUGUGCUCUCAGGAGCACGGAGGCUUCUGUGCUCCUGAGCCGUUUUCGAUGAUGGAUUUUCGAAUCGACGAUCGGCUCCGUUAGACUUAAUCUAGCGCAUUUGAAAUUUCUAGAAAAUAAUUUUUGCGAUUUUUUGAUAUCAUUUACCUAGUGAUCGAAAGGAUUCAAAAUCCAUAAUUUUUAAUGGUUGAUAUCUGCCGUUUUCAAGUUUAACGGUGUAGAAGUAUUCAAAUAAGAUGAAAUUUUGAUACAAAAUUCUUUAUACUAUCUAUAACAAGAUCAAUAUUUCUGAUCGAAAAUUUUAGUGCUAUAUCAUCACUUUUUAUAGGAUUUUUAUUUUCAACCGUUAAAAAUUAUUGAUUUUGAAUCCUUUCGAUUACUAGGUAAAUGAUAUCGAAAAAUUGCAAAAAUUAUUUUCUAGAAACUUCAAAUAUGCUAGAUCAAAUUUAACGGAGCCGAUCGUCAAUUUGGAAACUCCAUCAUCGUAAACGGCUCAAGAGCACGGAGGCCUCCGAGCUCCUGAGAGCACAGUAGCCCUGCUAUCUCUCUCUCUCUCUCUCUCUCUAUAUAUAUAUAUAUAUAGCGAGGCUACUAUACUUCUGGAAGUACGGAGCCUUCCGUGCUUUCAGGUCGUUUUUGAUGUUGCGACUUUCAAAUGGUCAAUCNCCUGAGAGCACAGUAGCCCUGCUAUCUCUCUCUCUCUCUCUCUCUCUAUAUAUAUAUAUAUAUGAGUCCGGCUACUAUACUAUUGACAAUACCAAGCGCUUUGUGUGAUUGAGUUUUCCGCCAAUAGAUCUAUUCCCUUAAUCAUUUCCACCAAUUAGAUCAUGCUACUCAACCAUAAGGGACCACUAUUAUCCUAAUUAGGGACCACUAUCAUCCUAGCCGCACAUCCUUCAUUCCAGGGCCAAAAAUCUAAUAGCAUCAAUUGCUUAGUACUAUAUAUAUAUCGAUAGUAUAGUAGCCUGGUUCUAUAUAUAUACACACACACAAAUGUUAGGGAUCAGAUAUAUGGUGAAAUAAAGAAAGAGUUUGGGGACCAAAAUAAAAAUGGAGCACUAGUUGGUGACCAAUAUUAUGGUGCUGUUAUCCAAUUAUAAAAUUAAAUAACAAAAAGUUAAAACCUAUCUAAUUAAUAUAACUAGAUGGAUAAUUGAUAGUUACACGUUUUGUUUCUUUUUUUUUUUUCCUUUGAGGUUCUUCUUUUUGUUCUAAUAUUUCUAUGCUCUAGGUCCUAAAUAUGUGUGACAUGGUUUUACAUCCAUAAUUUGAUCCUCCAGUGGUCCUAUGUCAGUUGGGAAAGAGAUUAUGACUGAAAUCAUAAAGAUCAGGGAUUUUAAUUAGGCUUUAAUAAUUUUGACGGGUGAUUUGGGCCUAAUCUAUUGUUAAUGCUAAUGGCAAUUGGUAUCAGAACUUGUUUGAUAGCUACAGUGUCAGAUAGUCUCAUAUCGCUCGCCUGAUAAUCUGUUAUUAAUGCUAAUAUCAGUUGGUAAUAAAAUUGAUUUGCUAGUCAAAUUGUGAUAGUCUCACAUUGCCCAACCCUAUAAUAUUGGACUAGGGAGUAGGACAGUCCCGUAUCGCCAGUUUCACAUCGCCUAGUAAUCUUAGGUUAAGGAAUGGGCAAAGACUAGAGGUAAAAACUGUAAUGCACUAAACUUUUGCAAAUAGCAGGGUUCUACCGAAAAAUAGUAAUGAAAACUUUUUAAAUAACCUCAGUGGUGUUUGGGAAGCAUUAGAAUGUUUUCAACGCGAAAACGAACUUUGGGAAGCUAAAUCUGCAAAACUACAGAUUUUUAUUCAGUAUCGGUACUGGACUGGAGUACUGAUACUUGGCUAUAAGGAAAUUGGGAGAACUCUUGGGUUUUGCAGAAUUCCCUCCAAUACCUGUACAGAUUCGGACGCGUAUCGGUAUACUAUAAAGUCGAGAUAACCAAUAUUCUGGUUUUGAGGAACUGACUUGAAGUAUCAAGAUUUUUUAGUAGCAUAUUGGUAUCGAAACCCGCUUAUAGGUAUUCAACUCUAUGAAUAGCAGAUUUUGGCUGGUUGCAAAUAUAAUUGAUUGGAAAGUUUAUGUGCAAUUGUAAAACUUCUAUAUAUAGCACCAUCGCAGCCAAAACCCUAUUUCUUUCCCAUUUUCCUCUUUCACAUUGUCUUUGUUCUUUCUCUCUCUAAAAGAGAGAAAAACCCUAGUUUCCUAUUGUUGGAUUUUGGAAAUCCAUCUCUUUGGAGGCUUGGAAGAGAUCAAGAGCAUCAAAAGGGAGCUUGCAGAGGGAGAAGGCAACCAUUUCCACCGAUGUUUCUUUUGCUAGCUAGAAGGAGAAGAGAUGAGUUAGGGUUUUUAAAAUUUAUUGUUGGAGAUAUUUCCAAAUGAGGGACUUUAUAAUUCUAACUUGAUUAAAACUUUUUUCAGGAUUUUAGUGUUCUAAAGAGAUUAAGGAGCAUUUCCAAGAGAAGAUCCAAGAGAAUAUGAGGAAUAUUACCGAAAUGAGCUUGAUCUAUUCUUUGCCUAAAAAAUAGUAGCCUAACAUAUUUAGUAUGCAUGUUAGAAGAUCCUUGAUCUAUCCUUUGUCUAAAAAAUAGUAGCCUAACAUAUUUAGUAUGCAUGCUAGAAGAUCCUGUCACGCCCCGAGACCUGCCACUUUGGUCGGAUUCGGGCGCGCCAACAGACCGCCGAACGGACAGACUUUUUCCUUUCCGCCCAAGGCGUCACAAUUAAUACAAUUCAAGAUGUUUCAACCAGGAAUAGAAUUCAUACAGAAAUUGUAUAAGGAAGGCAUCAGAAACAUAAACAACUAUGCUAUUACAAGUAUUCACUUUACAUUCACAUUACAUUUACAUUUUUUCUUUCCAAAUACAAUCAACAUUGCUAUUACAAUUUUCUUUCAUUCUCUUCAUUUCAAUUCUCCUAAGCUACGUAGUAGAGGUACUUCUAUCCUACUCACAAAGGGUAGGGCGCUAUCUACUGAGCUAUGCCCUUUCUCGCGCCGCCGCGCCGCUCACGUAUGGACCUGAAAAACAUGGGGGUGAGAACUAUAAACAUAGUUCCCAAUGGAUACGGCCACCCAAGAAAAGAGCUCGACCUACCAGGUCCAAAGAAGACAAUAUAAGCAAGUUAGUCCAACAUAUAACAUAUAGUUCAACUUUAUGCAAUUAAAUGAACAUCAUACUUAUACCCCAACAAAAUGCAAUAAUGAAAUCAAUGCAAGUAGGUAUCCUCUUCUACUUUCUAUUUCACUAUCCAUAUCAUUGACAAUUCGCGCCUAAGGUUUCUCUUACCUUAGCCUAACUAACCACCCGACUCACUUUCGAGUCAAUUAUUAGCGGACUACCGCUCUUGUCCAGGCCUUAGGAGAGGAACCUGCCGUACACCUCAGCCUUCAACCUACGCGGCAGGUGAGGAAUAUACCACAAGCACCUCCGAUACCAAGUCGCCCAACGAGAAAGGAACAUGCCGUGCACCCGCAAUCAGGGAUCCCCCGGUGGGAGAGGAAUAUACCGUGCAUCCACGGCCGAGACCGCCGAUAGGGAGAGGAACAUGCCAUGCACCCUAGCUCACAAGAUCUCGUGGUGGGAGAGAAACAUACCGUGCCCACAGUCAAGAAUCAUCCAUAGUCACAAGUCUUGGGAUUCCGGAAUCUUCUUUCUAAGGCCCCGUUUGGAUGCAUAGUAAAUAAAUUCCAUGGAGUUUAAAUACCGUAGUUUUGGUCCAAAUGAAAUGGAGUAUCCUGUAACUCCAAAAAAAUUCCACGGGUUACUUUAAAAGCUGUUUGGAUACACAUUUUAGAAUUCUACAGGAUUUCUGAUAAUCUUUAAAAAUUACCCUUGUGAAUUUAAACUUAAAUUAUUAGUUAUUAAAUGACUUUAAAAUCUAAAAAUUUAAAAUAAAAUUUUAAAAUUUAAAUUUAAAUUAUUAACUAUUAAAAUAUUUUAAAAUUUAAUUUUAAAUUACUAGCCGUUAGAGAGCUCGAAAAUCAAAAAAACUAGCCGUUGGUGAGCUCAAAAAUCAAUAAACUAGCCGUUAGAGAGCUCGAAAAUAAAAAAAACUAGCCGUUGGAGAGCUCAAAAAUAAAAAAACUAGCCGUUAGAUAGCUCAAAAAUCAAAAAACUAGCCGUUGGAGAGAAGUAUUAUGCUUCACAUGCCAUCCAAAGUCUAUUUAAAGAAACCAAGUUAUUACAAUCACAUACCUAAUAGUUAUUACAUUCUCUUCUCUAUAUUUCUAAACCUACAAACUAUGGAUAAUAAUAAUCUCGCACUUCUUCUUUUGAAGAGAAGGGAAGAAGAGGAGUUUGAGUUCAUGAAUUUCGUUCAUCCAAUAACAAGUAGUGAUGAAAUAUCAGAGAGAAGACGUAUUCACACAUCUAUUCUUACUGGUGCAAUGUAUGUUCAAGAAGUUCUUGAAGGCCAUGAAGAACGAUGCAAAAGAGAGUUUCGAAUGGAGACUCAUGUUUUUAAAGCACUGGUCAAAUGCUUGAAGGAUAAAAGACUUAUUUCAGAUACGAAAUAUGUCAGCGUGGAAGAGCAGGUAGCCAUGUUUUUAUUUAUCUUGUCUAAAAAUGCAAGUAAUCGUACCGUACAAGAGCGUUUUCAACAUAGUGGGGAAACAGUAAGCCGUCAUUUUCGAGCGGUGUUAGAAGCAGUUACUAUACUCACUGAAGAUUUAAUUCAACGACCAUUGGCAAUCACUCCAUCGAAUAUCCGAUGGAACAAUAAGUUUUAUCCUUAUUUUGAGGUAAUGUGAUUUGCUUACUUACUUUAAUUUAAUUCAACUACCACUACAAUUCAUUAAUAAAUUAAUUUGUAAUUUCCAAUUGAUUUAAUUAAUUUUUUGUCAAAUGUAGGAUUGCAUUGGGGCUAUUGAUGGAACUCACAUUCCUAUAACAAUUGCGACGAGCUUGCAAGAACCAUAUCGUAAUCGAAAACAAACAUUAUCUCAAAAUGUUAUGGUUGCAUGUGAUUUUAAUCUUCGUUUUGUUUAUGUAAGAGCUGGUUGGGAAGGUUCAGCAUCAGAUGCGAGGAUAUUACAAGACGCCUUAAACAAUGGUUUUACAAUUCCACGUGGAAAAUAUUAUUUAGUUGAUGCAGGUUAUGCUAAUACACCAAGUUUUAUUGCUCCAUAUCGCGGCAUACGAUAUCAUUUAAGAGAGCAAGGUGCAACUAAUGAGAAGCCAAAGGAUUAUAAAGAAUUAUUCAAUCUUCGUCAUUCACAACUCAGAAAUCAUGUCGAGCGUAUUAUUGGAGUUGUAAAAAUGCGUUUUCCAAUUUUAAAGACAGCUACAUAUCAUUCUAUCGAUAAUCAAACUGACAUUGUGACGGCUUGUUGUGUAUUGCAUAAUUUUAUCCGAAAUCGUAAUGGGACGGAAGAUUGGUUGAAUGAUGGCAUUUCAGAAAUCAGAAAUCAUGAAAUUAUCGAUGUGCCAGAUGGGGAUGAGGAAUAUGCUGAGGAUAUUGACUCUAUGAAUAAUCAACGCAGAGCAGGCAAUUUUAAGCGUGAAGAAAUUGCAAAAAAAAUGUGGACUGAUUAUAUAGCUAGACACCAAUCUAGGAGGAAUUCUUGAUUGUUACUGAAUAUUAGACAUAUAUUUAUUUUUCAUUAACAUGUAUCAUGAAGUUGUAUGCCACUAUUAUAUAUGAAUAUCAUUUCUCCUUAUAAAUUUUACGAAUUUUUUUUUUCAAUGUACGAAAUAUACAAAAAAAAGUCUACCACCACUAUAAAAAAUAUAUGAAGAAAUAUCAUUCAUGAAGUUUAGCAUUAUAUAAAUAUAGCUAACAAAUAUUUAAUCAAUCAAAAGUUUAAUAAACGUGCGAACAAAAAGUUUAAGAAACUAACAAACUUCAACUAAAAGAUUUAACAUGGCAACAAAAUAAAAGAAACCUAACAAAAAGAAAAGUAAACUAAACAACCGUAGCAACAACCUUAUGAUUUAAUUCUAAAUUCCCUCUUCCCAAGCCCUUCUUAUCCAAUAAGUUCUAUGUUCAUCCUUCAAUGAAAGCCAAGCCUCACGAUUUUUUUUCUUUCUUUGGAACACUCUUGAAGCUUUAAACACCUCGUCUGCGGUCCAUGAAUUAGGUAACGCAUAAAACACCUCCAUACAUUUAUCAACUGAAUACUUAUCAUCAUGAUAACCUUUUGUUUGAAGUUCUGCUGCGGUGAUAAUGGCUUUAGCAAUUUUAUCAUCGCCCCUUUCCUUCACAAUUAGGUAAUCUCCCAUUUUAUCAAUAUUUUCUUUUUUUUGUUUUCUUUUUCUACAACUUGAUGUAGUCUUGGCUUCUCCUUCUGUUUGUGUUUGUGAUUGUGAAGGUGGAGGCAUUUGAACUGGGUGGGGUAUGUCACUUGCCGAAGGUAUUUGAGCUGACAAAUCGACCUCUUGAGUCUCUUCAACAUGUUCAUCAAAAUCCACUCCAACACCCGGAAUUGUGGCUAAUGGAGACUCCGGUUGUGAUGACAGAUCGAUAUGGGAGGCCGAUGAUGAACCUCUAGAGAAAUUACUAUAAUACUCACAUCCACGAGCACGUUUACCUUCUGCAUAUGUGCCUUCAAUAUAUAAAGAUGAAAUACAUAUGAAUAUUAAUGCUACAAAAGAAAAAGAAAUAAAAUUUCAAUUAAAGCUACCAUACCUUCAUAAAUAUCAUAUAGUGCUUCAUACCAUGGAAAGGGCUUGUUGUGCCAUUUCCUAAGUUCUUUGUUAGUCUUCAAAAAAUAAGAAAAAAAUUAUUGCUAGAAAUGAAAAAAAGAAACAUAUAUAAUCAAUAUUUAAUAUGUGCUACUCACAUUAAUCAACGGUUCCCAAACUUCUGAUGGAGCAGAAACCAUUUUUUUAUCUCCGUCCCAACCGAAGCCACUCAUCUCUACUAAGCUUUUCACAGCUUUAAAUUGCUUUUUCAAUUGUUGCUCUUGAUCUUUCACUUGUUCUACUGUAUAAUUGGAAUGGGGAAAUUUAAUACUCAUUGCCUUAUGUAUACUACGCCAUGCCUCUUUAGUCCAUCCAUUUUGACCUCUCCAUUUAUCUUUAUUAUGUUCUUGUAAAAGUUCAACUAAAUGGGCUCUAUGCACAUCCGUCCAUUUUGCUCGUGUUUGUUUUUUUAGAUCAUUGCCUGUACAAUUCAUAAAUUAUAUAAAAAAAAGACUACAAUAAUUUAUAAAUCCUAAAAGGUUUUAUAUCAAUCCUGUAUACAUACAAGAAAAUGAAAAAGCAAAAAAAGUCCAUCAGACCAACCAACAGCUUGUAUUAGAUGCAGUUGAAAUUAGUAUUCCAUAUAAAUGCCAUGCACAAUAUGGAAACCAAACAAUGCCCAUCUUGUAUAUGAAGAUUAUAACACAAGAAGCAGGUUUUCAUGAUCAGCAUUAUACAAAGUGCAACAAUUAUUAAUCAACAAGACUCUGACAGCUGAAAUAAAGAUGCAAGUAUAUCGAAGAAAUUCGAGAUUUCCUAUAAAGAUAAGCUUAAAGUUGGCUUCUUAGUAACCAACCAUUAUUACUUUUGAUAAGUUUAAAGUUGGCUUCUUAUUGAUAUGCCUUCUUAGUAACCGUCGCCAGAUAUAACAGAGCCAACCGAAAAGGUCAGGAAACAUUGCAUAAGAACAGAAAAAUUAAGCUGUCUCAAUAAUUUGGUAAACAAAUAAAAGUUUGCAAGAUUGAUAUUGAUUUCUAAGGUGAGAUUGCUAUUUACUUGAUAGAAGAAUAUCAAAUAGGCGCAAAAAAAAUAAAAAAAAAAGAAAACACAUGGACAAAAACACACAUCUAUUAUUCGUAUCGAUUAAACGCCAGAUAGUCUAAUUAGCUCUUUUAUUCGUUGAGAUUAAACGUCUAUCAAAUGGAUCAGAAAACACACAUCCCAGGUAAUGCAAGAAAAAUCAAGACCUAUAUAUCUUACGAAAAUUAAAAAUAUGAUGAAUUAAUCAAAAUCUAACUUAUUGAACAAAAAAAAAAAAAUCAGAUUUCUUUGUUACCUGUUGGAGGAGGGAAAUGGGGCUGCCCUUCUCCGGACAUCGCAAGACGAGGGGUGAGAGGGGCGAGACAAGAUCGAGGCAAGAAAAUGGCGGCCGAGGUUAGUGCGGCGGCGGCGGCGGCCGAGGUGAUCGUGACUUUGGCUGUAGUAGCGUGCGAGAUGUGUGCGGCUGCGGCAGUAGCCCGCGAGAUGGCGGCGACGGCGGCAGCCCGCGAGAUGGCAGCAGCGGUGGCCGAGAUCCUCGGCGGCGACUGAGAGAGAUGCGGCUGAGGAGAGAGAGAGGAUGGGAGGAAGCUGUGGAUUGGAGAGGGCAACGGAAGGGAGAGACGCGAGAGAAGUCGGGCGAGGGGGGAGCCGCUCCAAAAAAAAUAGGGUAACUUUUUUUCCAAAGAAAAUAUCAGAGGUUACUUUUACCCCAUUUUUUAGGGUAUAGUUAAACUAUACCCUAUUUUGUUGGGAUAUUUUUUAAACAUCCAAACACCUCUUAGGAAUUUUUUCCCACACCCAUAGGAUAACUAUACUUUACCCCAAAAAUAUAACCAUCCAAACAGGCCCUUAGUCUCAAGGGUUCAUCACAUACCCUAUAUUGUCAACCUUUUUAGGUUCAUAGUCACAUGUCCAAGUGGUCUUCCUACCACUAUGUUAUCCAACAUAUGUUCAAUGACACUAGGUUCAAUGACAUUCCAAUCCAAGUUGUCUUCCUACCACUAUGUUAUCCAACCUAUAUUCAAUAACACUAGAUUCAAUAUUCAAUCAUAUUCUUUCUCCAUCCUAGUUGUCCAUACUAGGAUUUAUAGUUUUCAUGACAUUUAGUCCUUGAAUUCCUACUUGUCGAAUUCUCUAAUUUUCCUAGAAUUCAUCACCUAUGUUCAAUAUUCACACAUUGGCAUACAUAUAUAUACAUCCUAUAUGUUCUCACAUGCCUAUGUCAUCAUUCAAUAGUAGAUAUAUAACAUUAUCUAGUAACAUAUGAUUUAUACAUCUAUAUUUACAACACAUAACCUACCAUUAUAUAAAUACAUCAACAAUAAUACCAUACUUUACUCUCUUGAUAUGGAAGUAACCUAGUCACUUCAGUGAAGCACAAUCCACCUCAUAAGCUUCCUAAUUGCUUGUAGACACUUACAAUUAGACCAACCUCUUAAAUCUCCAAGCUUGCUCCAAAGCUUUCCUUGUCUUACACAAGAGAUCCAUUCGUUACCAAUUUUGAACCCCCAAACGAUUUUUUCUUUUGAAAUCAAGUUGCCCUACUUGAUUUUCUAAUUCUCAAUUAGGAUUUUAAAGGGUUAAAAUAUUUUUAGAACCCUCCACAAGCAAAUCCCUCUUUCAACUUAGGGUUGCUCCAAAUUAGAGAAAAAUCUCAAAUCUCAUAAUAAAUCUCACAAUUUGUGGUCUAGAUUUACCUAGGGUUUACCAAAAUCCUAAAUCUAAGGAUUAAAAUCAAAACCCUAACUUCAAAUCCUAAAACUCAUCUUUGCCCAAAGCUUUCCUCUUCUUCUUACUCAAAGAGAAAGCCUUCUACCUCCAAAAUCUUCGUUCAAAACUUGAUCCUUGAAGCUUCAAGGGUUGAAAAAGAAGGAGAUAAAGAAGUAGGAGAGGAGCUUCUCUCUCCCUCUCUAUCCAUGUGUGCGUGUGUGUGUUCUGCAGAGAAAAAGGGGGAAAGGUUCCCUUAUAUAAGCCCCAAACUGAAAUUACCAAUUUACCCCUCAAAUUCAGCAUUCUGCAGCACUGCGUACCAGUACUCGGAUUGGUGUAUCAGUACUCGGGCAUCCUGUCCAGGUAUCUAGUUUCCAGUACCUCAAAAUCCGAACGUUGGAUUCUCAAUUUUUCUACUGCGUACCGGAACCCAGUUUCUAGUACCAAUACUCAGUACAAAUCUAGUACCGAUACCCACUUUGGUUCCUCAAAACCCAAGAGCUAGUUCCUCACAUUUUGUAUUGCAUAGCGGUACCCAGUUUCCGGUACCGGUACUCAAUACAAAAUAUGUACUUUUACAAAUUUUACCUUUCAAAGUCCGUUUUCGCACCCGGUUGGUGCCGAAAACACUCGAACACUCCCCAAACUUUGCCAGGACUAAUUUAAUAGCUUUUUAAAUUAGUUCUCGCCAAAACUUUCUGCGUUUGGUUGGAGAACUAAAUUUUGGAGAACAACUUUUGUUAUUUUCGAGAAUAGGGGAUAUUCCGGUACAAGAUAGAACAAUUGUAAAUUUGUGUUUGGAUGCGUUCGAGGAUAUUCUAGAGGAUAUCCUAAAUAGCGUUUGGAUAAAAAGUCUAGAACAACGUCUAAAUAUGUUUUUAAAAAUAAAAUAAUUAAUUUAUAUUAGUAUAUUUUAUAUAAAAUUAUUUAUAAAAUUAUUUCAUAUAGUAAUUUAUAAUAUAAUAUUUUAUGUAAGAAUCUAAUUUAAAAUAAUAUAUUUUAUUUUAUUAUAUAUAAUAAUUUAUUUAUGUUGUGAGAUUCCUGGUGUUCAAUUGUGGAGGCUUGUCGGCAGCUCUGGAGAGUGUCGGGACAAGUCCGAGUCGCGUUGGCGUCAAAUAGACGUAAAACGGGCUCCGUGCGACGCGAGGGCAGUUUUAGUGAAGAAAAUCUGUAAUUUGCUCUUUUUCUGCUUGCUGUACCGGUACAGCCAUCGUGAUGUACCGGUACACUACACAGUUUACGCGCAUACUGCUCUCAGGUUGGCUUCCUGUACCGGUACGCGACCCCGUGUACCGGUACACCAGGGUAGGUAGAGGGCUAAAUGUGUAAUUUCUCUCCCUCGUUUGCAUCACCAGCCCUCCCUCUCUCUAUUUAGCCUUGUGAGGACAGAGAGAGGGAGUUCCUCUGCUGCUAUUUCUCUCUCUCACUCUCCAUCCGAUCUUAGGCUAGGAAGGGGUUUAAUUGGAGUUCGUCGCCGACGUCGCGCCGCGGGAUCGUUCGAGCACGUAUUUGACGCCGGGGCAUUGCGAGGAGACCGGGCGAGCGUGCGACUUCGCUGUUCUUGACGUCGCACCGGUGCUCGGAGUUAUCAAGGUGGGACUUUCAGUUUUUUCUUGAUUUUUGGCAAGUGUUUACUACUUCAACUCGGAAAAUUGUGUUUUCUGAAAUCCACCGUCGACUGUUAGUAUUUCAGCUCGUACGCGACGUAGGAGCAUCGGAUGCGACGAGACUUGGUUCGUUGGAUUCGGACUUCGAGAAGGAAUCCAUGAAGCCCUUACUUACGAAUUUUGGUGAAGGUUAGAUAGGUCGAAAUCCCUCUCUUCUCUGCUGCUGUGAUUUUGGACUGAAUUGAAGAAUUUUGGUGUUUUAGUUUGGAGUUCGCUCGAUUUCGAGACUCGGCGUUUUUGGUCGAUCCAGCAGGUGGUGUCGCAGCCGAGGGGUUCCGUGCUGCCAGGGAUUAGCGUGCGAGGUGGGUUACACGUCGUUGACUCCUAAGUUCAUAAUCGUCAACAUGUAUAGAUCUCGAUUUGAAAAAUUUAUUCUAGCUCGAAUUCAUGGAUUAUAUGAUAGAAUGCAAAUCUGAAUUUGAGCAUGUUGAAUAAAUUAAGUAGAUUAUAUAUGUUGGACUUGAAAACUGAAUUAGGAGAAAACCUGCGAUUUGGACCUGUCACUGAUUAAACUGCCUGAUUUAGCUCUAGGAGCCGUUAUUAAAUUGUACUGCCGCAGUAUCUUCGAGACGAUACUCCAGGUAUUUAGAAUAUAUCUACACUCGGCUGGUUCGCCCGAGGGGAUUUUACAGGGUCUUUCAGGCUGUUCGGACUGUAGGGUGCCGUUGAGGUUGACGGUGGACCCGUAUCGCCUUUUUGGCAUCUGAUUGUGCCGAGGGCACUUACUUGUGGUUGUUGGACAGUUAGAGUCGAUUUCUUGACUUUGGCUUUUCAGAGCCUGUUUGAGCUCGACAAGAGAUACGCUGCAUACUCGGUUGGGUAGCGCCCACGAGUGCCACUCCGGAGUCAGGCUUUGUCUUUCGCGUUGGUGUCGCUCAUGCCAGUGGACUUACUCUCCACGGACCAGUUAGUGUGGAUAGAGCUUGAUAGUCGCAACGGGGCAGGACGGGUGUAUUCACAGUCCGAGGACGGGUAUGCUUACAGUCCCGAUUGGAUUGGUCAGAGUUACAUUUCCUACAGUUGGUUAGUGUAGAGCAUGAUAGUGUAGUGAUCGAUAGCGGUAGAGUUUAUUUCUGCUUUCUGACUACUCUUGCUGCCCUUCUGUAGACUUAGUGGUGGACCGAUGUUGUUUUGGCGGUACCCACUAGGACUACUUGUUUCUACAGUAGUUCUCACGCCAGUUGUUACUAUGUUUUUGCAGACCACAGGUUCCGGCUGCUGCACCGUCCACGACCAGGAUCGAGGCAAGGGCGUCGCGAGUUAGAGCCCACCCGACGUGCUGAGCUAGAGGUGCCUCUACUGCAGGUAGAUUUUGUUUCGAGUUUAUGUACAUAGUGACUAUAACUCGCCAGUGGCGAGUAGCUCUGUAUUUUGGAUUUGAACUAUGUAUAUGAAACUCAUUUUGUUUACUUUGUUUUUCUCUAGCAGCUCUCUACUACUGUUCGUAGUAGUGUUUGAUUUACAGGUACAGCUGUCGCUUCGUAUACAGAAAAAAUUUCUUUGUAUACGCGGAUUUGUCGGCGGGCCCGGGGAACGUGUAAUCCGGGCGUGACAUAUGUAAUCAUUUAUAUUUAUAUAAUUUAUCAUAAUAUAUUGAUGAAUAAAGUAUAAUACUAACAAUAUCCCUAUAUUUUUAAUUAAUAAUUAGUAUAAAUUUCAAUCAAAUAAAAAAAAAUAUAUAAUUAAAUAUUAAAGUAUAAAUGAAUAUAAAGUUAAUAAAAAAAAAAUAUAUUCAAAUUUAAUUAACUUAUAUAAAAUAUAAAAUUAAGGUAAAUAUAUUGUCAUAAAAAUAAUAUUUAUAUUAAUAUAUGUAUUAUUUAUUAAAUUUGAGCAUUUAUUUAUUUUAUUUGAAAUUAAUUAAAAUAAAGUAUAAAAAAAAUAAAAUGGCAUAAAAAGAAAAAAAGAGACAAAAAAAACAAGUUCCGGCUUGUUCUCCAUGAAAUGGAGAAUAAUCUUAACGGGUUGUUCCCGGAACAACCCGUUAAGCCCGGAACAACCGGGUUGUUCCAUUUUGCAUUGCGUUUGGGGGGACAACGAGGGAUAUCCCGCCUUGUUCUGAGAUAUACUUCCAACCAAACGCAGCUAAUUAUGGAAAUUCAGUAUAUUACGGAUCCACUAGGUCAAAAGAGCUUAUGAGCAUUUGACCAAGAAAAAUAGGGUUUCUAACAGUUUAUUAUGUUAAAGAAAAUUUUAUUUAUCAUGUAUGUGAUGAGUAUCAUGUAAACUUUGGAGCAUAAGCGAAAUAACAGUGACAUUUAACCUAGGAUGGAAUCUAAAGUGUACAAUAUAGUGAAAAAUGAACUCCAGGCAAACUUGAGCAAGAUAACAAGAGAAUGUGUAAAUAAACAUAGUUGAUAACCCCUAGAAGUCAAGAGAACUCAGGGUGUAAUUAUGAGAUAUGUCGUGACCUUCCGAAAGUGUCAUAUUGGGUAAUGCUAAUUACCCUCGACACCUUACUCCAUAUUAGGUGAUGUUAAUUAUCCUCGAUGCCCUACUUUAUAUUGGGUGAUGCCGAUUACCCCAACACCUUAUUUCAUAUUGGGUGAUGUUGAUUUGUCUCGACGCCCUAUUCUAUACCGGGUGAUGCUGAUUACCCUCGACGACCUAUAUGGUACUUGGUGACGCUAAGGGUCUAUCUUUAUGAGGUACUUAGCAAGAAGUGGAAUCAAACAUGGGGUUGGUUAAAGAUAAAAGAUAGUUUGGGACAAACAUAUAAAUCAAUGACAUUAUACAUCAUUGUGGUAUAUAGUAUAUGUAUAUGAGCAUAGUAGUUGUAUAUUUCUUUCUUGCAUUUCUAUAGUAGAGGUGCAACAAUAACCAUUACACCCUCACAAAGAAGAGAAAUUGCAAGACUGAAAUUUCAGCCUAAAACCGGGCAAGGUUUGGACUUUACAUGCAAAUCUAGAUCCCGAAUCUCAUUCUGCACAUUAUACAGCUAAGAUCCGGACUUUUCUUUCAAGAUACGGAUCCUAACACUGGACAGUGUUUUAAUCAUUUUUUUUUCUUCUAAUUUUCGCUCUGAAAUUCUAACUUUUAUUCUAUUUUCUCUCCAAACCAAAUUCAACAUAGCCCAAAUCCUUCCAACUCAAACACUUUCAAAAGCUUUCCACGUUGGGGAACUCCAAUUCUACCUUUUUAAAAAUGGUUAAAUUCCGGAGUAUAACCAUUCCAUGAAAAUUUUCGCUUUCUUCCAACACUUUUUCUAACUUAUUUGAAGCCUCUUAAAGUCUCACCAAAUCACCUUCCAUACUUUCCAACCUACUUUCAAGAUGUCCAAACACUUUAAAUGCAACCCCUUUAGUUGUCAUUUCUCGGCCAGUUAUUAUAAUAUUUAGUAGAUUCAAUCGAAAGUCUCACUUUUAAGUUCAUUAUCUCAACGAUCGAUUCAUCUUUUACUUUUUCGCAAUUAUUUCUCUAAAUGGUUUUCACUAGUUACGCCUCAUCAGAAUUCGAUCAUGUAGCUUGGGUCCCAUAUCUUACACCGGUUUAUUCCGAUAUCUAAACAUAGCCGGCCUUAGAAACUUAUGUAUGAAUAAUCUUAACAUGAUAACAAAGAGAACAGAGCCUUAAAUACUACCUAGAGGGGUCAAUCCUUUCCAAAGUUUAAUUUGUAUAUAUCUCUGUUCAACUUACAUGGAUUUGUGCAUGAGUCUCUUUUUUUUUUUAGCCUCCAGGGUGGUGGGGACAUGUCUCACAACUUUAGCGGCUUAUUAAAUAACUUGGUAAACUUUUAGUUUUGAUAAUUAAACCUUCUAAAUUUUAUUAAAUAAUUUACUUAAUCCUUCUUCUCAAGCAAACUCUAAAGUACAACAAAAGCUACUUCUCACAACAAAAACAAAACAUUAGGAUUAAAGAAUAACUUAAAUCCACCCUCAAUUUUUACCACCUUUUCAAGUGCUAAAUGUAAGAGAAAGAUUUACCAAGACAUUUGUCAGAAAUGUCUGUUUAAUUAGUAUCGUUGCGUUAAUAGAAGGGUCUAGUGAACAAAUUUAAUAAAAUUUACGAAGUGUAGUCGCCAAAAUUAAAUGUUCAGAUGACUAAUUGCUAAAACUCUCAAGUUAAUUUAAGGGGGUAUUUUAUACAUUUAUCCCUUUUCCUUCUUGGCAAAAGCCCAUAAAAAAAAAAAAAAAAAAAAAAAAAAAAAAAAAAAAAAAUCUAGAGAUAUGAGUAAUAAAUUCUGUCGGAUAGUUAGCGCUAAUCAUUAAUUUCAGAAGCUCGAGCUGUUAGAAAUAUACAACCAAUUCACUUAAAGCGUACAGAUUGUCAGAUACAGCGCACACGGGUCUCGAUUGUGACUCGAUCCAACCAGCCUUACGCCACUUCGAAAUGACUCGGCCCGGCUCAGCCUCACGUCAUUUCGAACGUGACUCGGCCCACUUGACCUCUCGCCACAGGGCAGAAUGUUGGUCCAUUUAAGCCAACAAAUUCAACAUAAUCAUAACCUUCAAAAUUAAAUUAAUUGACUAUAGCUAAGCAGCCCAUCAUUUGAAUAUUUAAAUAACAUAGUUAUUAUUACGACUUAGAAUAUUCCGCUUCACUGCUUAUUAAUUAUUAGUGUAAAACUAUUUUCGUGUACUUGUGUCAUGAAACACGCAGAGUAAUUAAAGCAAUUCCACGGGCGAACAUUUUUAAUUUCUUUUAAUUAGUUGAUGAUGAUUAAUGUGCCAUGGACAAUAAAAAUACUUCCCAAUUAUUCGGAAAUAAAUUAAAUUAGGAAUCGAAGCGUGCCGUAACUUUAGUAUUGUUUCAAAUUAAUUGUAAAACAUUUGCAAAAUGCGUAUUAUGACUUAUGAAUUAUGAAAAGUGUUGAUCAUUAUUACUGCAUCAAGGACUUGUGAAUUAUGAUUCCAACAUUUGUUUUGCUCCAGCAGAGUUAUUAUUAUUAUACACUAUUCAACUAGACUCUUUAAUUUCAACACUUCGACAGGUAAUAAAUAUACAGUUUCUAGUGCAUUUCUCCUUUUUCAUUUUUUUUCAAUUUUUUCAGGUGAAUGCGUUUUGACCAUUAAUUGAGGCAAUUUUUUAUUCCUCUCACGAUGUUUAAUGCAUUGGAGUACAUCUUAUAAAUUCAAUCUAAAAUUAACAUUAUUGUGCUACAAUAGUUUGGGGCUUGCUUAAUUUCGACAUUGUAUACAGGAAUUUGAAUCGAAAAGUCUAAUAAAUAAUAUUUAUCUAAAGUUUAAGCUUUGAGAGAAAUAAUUUUUCGCAUAAUGCUGUGCUUUUGGUAAGUCUCGUGGUCCAACGUCUCUUAUUGAUGUUGUAAAUCUCCAACCUAAUUUUUCGCACAUAUCUUAAAAAUUAUUGGCUAAAUUACAGAAAACGCUCAUUACAAAAUCCGAUUUUUCACCUUCCCCUCCUGUUAUUUAAAAAUCUAUACUUUGCCCCCUUGUAAAAUGAAAAAUGUUCACAGGGGGUACGGUGUAAACUGUGAUGACAAAAUGACUAUUUUGCCCCUCACCAUUUUGCCCAUCACCAUAUUCAUAGAAGAGAAGGCUGAAGGCAUUUUUGGCAUAAACAAAAUAUAAUAAUAUUUUAUAAACGGAACUCUAACGGUUUACUAACGGCCGGGGGUAAAGUGAGCAUUUUUUAUUUUACAAAGGGGCAAAGUGUAGGUUUUAAAUGACAUGAAGGAAAAGUGAAAAAUCGAAUUUUGACAGGAAAGUUUUAUGUAAUUUAGCCAAAACUAAUUUACAAAGUUAAAGCGUUAAUUAAUUUAUCAUUGCCUCCACCCUCUCUAGUUUUUUUUUUUUUUUUUUUUUUUUGCUGUCCCUAACCUCUUAUUUUGAUUAAUUCACACAGCUUCCUGUAAAAACAUAUCGAAUAGUAAAUAUAUCCCUACAAAGUUUAACUUUUCAUAUUUAUUCCUGCAAAAGUCCAGUGAUAUUCAUAUUUGCUUCUCUAGUUUGUUACCGUUAGACUAUUGUUUAUCUUUUAAUAGAGGAUAAGUGAAAUGAAAUUUUUGCUAUCACAAAUAUGCCCUUCCAAAAAUUUCACCUGUUUGAAUUAUGAAGAAAUAUCCUUUCAAAAAUUCCCAAUGGUCAUCAUCUUCCUUUCUGCCAUCACAAAUAAUAUAAGAGGAGUAAAAAGAUCAAUAUACCUCACUCACUAGCCAAGGUUAACUAUAUUUUUCUAACGAAUUCUAACAGCAGAGGUAUAUUUGAAAAUAUUUGAACUUUUGCAUUAAUAAAUACAAAAAGUUAAACUUUGUAGGAAUAUAUUUGGUAUUCGAUAUGUUUAUAGGAAGUUGCAUGAAAUUAACCCUUUUAUGUUUGGAAAAUGCAUCUUGUACACCCCAAUAAGAAGUGAUACAUCUUACACCUGCAAUUCUAGGGUUGAUAAAUUAAAAUCGAAUUGGUUUUAGUCAAAUUUAAGAAAAUUAAUAUGACAAGAAUGAUCUUAAAAUAAAAUGGGUGUAAGAUAUACAUCCCAUUUUAAAAUGUACAUGUAGCAUUACUCUUUAUUUUUGUUGUUAAGUCUCCAACCAUUGCAAGUGCUGUUAAAUUUGACCGAAUUCAUAAUGUCAGCAUAGCUGACUCCAAUACGUGCCUUCUUCAGGGACCAAAGUGAAAAAAGUGAAAAUGUUGAAGAACAAUAGUGCGAUUAGAAUUUAAAUUUUAGUUGUAAACUAAAAAUAUAUAAUUAAAAUUUUAAUUUGAAUUAAAAAUUGAAAAUUUGAUUAAAAUCAAAUUAGAAAUUUAAAUUUGAAUUCAAAUAUUGAAUUUGACUUUGAAAUUCAAUUGAAAUUUUGAUUUCAAAUUUUAAAAUUUAAUGCUGAUAUUUGCAAUGAAAAAAAAGACUCUAAAUUUGAAUUUGAACCCAAAAUCUAAAUUCACUUUUAAAUUUAAAUUUAACUCUAAGUUUGAAUUUCUAACUUGAUUUAAAACUGAAUUACAUUUCAAACUUCGAAUUCAAAAACAAAAUUUGAGAAUUUAAAAUUUUAACUUCAAAACCUAAAUGUAAAUAUGAAUUGAUAUUUGAAUUCAAAAUCUAAAUGUGACAUUGAAUUCAGGAUUUGAAAUUGAAUUUUAAUUUGAAUUAAAUUUUGCAUUUGAAUUUACAAUUUGGGUCUAAACUAAGUUUAAAUUUGAAAUUCAAAUUUAAAUUUUGAAUUUCAAAAUCAAAAUGCAAGUUUGAAAUUAAACUUGAAAGCUAAAUUCAAAAUCUAAAUUUGAAUCUAAAACUAGGUGCAAAUUUUGAAUUUGAAUUCGAAAUUGAAUUUAAAUUCAAAAUUUGAAUCCAAAAUCAAUUUUUAAAUUUUAAAUUUCAAUCCAGAAUCAAAUUUAAAUUUCAAAUUAAAUUUAAAAUUAAUCAAAAUGUAAAUUAAAUUUAACAUUUGAAUUUAAAAUAAAAUUUUAAAUUUAAAUUAAUAAUAUAAUUAGUUGGCAUUAUAGGUGCUUAGCAGGCGCUGACACGGCAAUGAUAUAUAUGGCGCAUUUCAUCAAAAUUAAUCUAUAUUUUUAAUGGUUGGAACUUAAUUACAAUAAGACGAAAACGUUGGGAAGUUAAUUGCUAAAAAAAAAAAAGGUUGAUGAUUAAAAUGAAAAAGUUCAAAAAUGUUGGAGACCAAUUUGCAAUUAGCCCAAAGUUAAAAUAUAUAAGAGGUAGCCCAACUAGUCCAUAUUUUUUUUAGAAUGCAAUAGACUAGUCAACUUUUAAAUUUCAUCUUUUUACAAAAAUAAGCCCUCCCUUGGCAAUAAUAUUGUUGCCAAUUGUUUUUUUCAUUUUUGUGGGAAAAAAAAACUAAUUUCUGUAAUUUUAUACACUAAUAGAAAAAAUUAUUUUUUAUUGUCAUUAUUGGUUAGCUUUUAAUUCAAUAUGACCAAGUGAUAAGUGGCUAUUUUAAAAAACAAAAAAGAAAAAAAAACAGUCUAGCUUGGAAGUAAAAACAGAAAAAGAAAAAAGUUAUUUUCAAGUUUUCUUUUUUUUUUUUUUUUUGACAAACGGAGACCUUAGACAUUACAACAAAAAUGGUAUAUAGCGACACUUUUAAAUUUUGGUAUAGGUUAAAAAAAGUGUUAAUAGCUAAAUUACCGACACUUUUAAAAGCAUUGCUAUAUAUAGGGUCGUUUGGUAUAUAGUGACAGUUUAAUAGUGUCGGUAUAAUCUACAAAGAAUGCUGAUGAUUUACCAACACUUAUUUAAGUAUUUAGCAGCUGCCGAAACCCGACCUCAUCGCCUGCGGUGAAGGAGAGCGAGGGGCUCUUCGUCUAGGGUUUCAGAGAAUUGAGUGAGGGAAGAAGAGGUGUAAUCGAUUUUUCUUUUUUUUUUCUGUUUGUAAUCGAAGCGAGUUGGCUGGAUGGAGUGGGUUGAGUAGAGCAACUUUUUUUUUAUUGGACUUUAUAUUUAGGUCUUAGUAUAUUUUUUUUAAAAAAAAUUGAUAUAAAUAGGACAUUUUCACAAAAGUAUCCCAAAAAUAUAUCAAUGUAACCUAAUUCUAUUGUAGAAGGAAAUGGCAGCCAGAUUGAAAUCUGCUUUUCAAAAGAAUGAAUAACAAUGCAAAUUAGGUUACAUUGAUAUAUUUUUGGGAUACUUUUGUGAAAAUGUCCUAUUUAUAUCAAUUUUUUUUAAAAAAAAUAUACUAAGACCUAAAUAUAAANAAAAUAUAUCAAUGUAACCUAAUUCUAUUGUAGAAGGAAAUGGCAGCCAGAUUGAAAUCUGCUUUUCAAAAGAAUGAAUAACAAUGCAAAUUAGGAAAACUAUGCGAGUAGCUUGUAGAUUAUGCUAGAGUGUCAUUGUAUAAAGCCAUUGAUGCAUGUUUAAAAAACGUAUGUAUGCAUUAAGUAGAUCUAAUACAUCUAUAGUAGUACUCACAUCUCAACUUAUAAUUAAUUAUCAACACAGCACUGUGUACAAGUAGUUAGUUACAUGUAAGUUCUAAAACUUUUGCUACAAAAAUCCAGUGAUAUAAAUCAACUCAUAAACUCAUUGAAUUGUCUCAAAGUUUGAAUACAACAGGAAAAUAAUGAAUUCUAACUACUCAAAUUAUUGGUCCUUCAAGGACAUAGGACCAAUUCUUCAAUAUGAAGCAAUUACCUUUGAACAAGCAACACAGAGAGAAAAAGUGGGGAACCAUUAAAUGUUGAGCAAUAGUGCAUUUUGCUUUUUCUUGCGUGUUUGUUCAACUAUUCUACUAACAUUAAUAACUUAUUGAGCCUGAGCAUAUAAUGUUCAAGAGAAGCAUUUUGAUCCGGUCGGUUAGACUAGUUGGACUGUAGCGAACAACCAGUUCCUUUUCAAUCAAGUAAUAAAAUUGGAUUAUUUAUCAAAAAAAUUGUGCUGGACGAUUCGGUGAAUGAACCGAUGAACUAUUCUGGGUUUUAUCAAACCAUCUGGGAUUUUUCUCUGUUGUUUUCUAGUUGAUGUUUCUCAAGAUGUCCAAAUUAAACAUUAUAGUUGGGAAGAAACAAUUUUGAUAAGUUUCCCAAUCCUCAUAGCCUAAUUUAAUUUUCCCUUCUUUUAUAUAUAUUUUAUUCUUUUAAUCCUUUAGAUUCAUAUUAUAUAUCAUUUUAAUCUUUUAGAUUGCCCGAUCGAGUUUUGGAUGCCCUAUUGAGAGCAAGGAUUCAAGGCGAAUAAACGUUCAAGAAAGUAUUUCUUGAACUCUUAUUUGGAGGAGUAAAGAUAAGUUAGGGUUUUUAGGGUUCAAAUUUGAUUGUUUUUCUAAAUAAGGGUUUUAAAGGUCUUAACUUGGUUAGAACUUCCCCUUUUAAGAUUUUUAAGAGCCUUAAGAGCUCAAGAAAUAUUUCUAAGAGGGUUUUACAACACAAGGUGGGAAUUGUCACCAAAGUGAAUUUAAUCUCCCCUUUGUCUAAAAUACUUCUAUUUCCAUGCAUAUAACCUAAGUUUUUAUAUUCUCUUAAGUAAUAGUGGGUUAAUCUUGAUGGAUUUGCAUAAGACAAAUUUUGAAGGAUUCAUAAGGGAUUAUGGGUAUAUGAUCUAGCAUGUAGAUGUUUCAUCCUCUCUCAUUAAGCCGUGUUAUUUUGGUAGCAUUUUUUUUGAGCAAGUAGAAUACUAUUACAAGAAUGUAUGAACUUAGUUGACAUAGUAAAGACACUAAACAUAGGAGAAAACCUAUGGUGAAUGAACUCAUAAGUUAACUCUAGUAUCGGCGGUAACCUAGGGUAAAAAUUAAGACAAGCAAAUGGCAUCGGUUGCGGGGAUCACGACCUUAAAAACCAUGACCUUCCGAAAGAGUCAUCAUGGGAGAAGCUUGAUUAUCCUUAACCCUCUUAUGCCUUAAUUUGGGAAAGUAUGAUUACCCUCAACCCCUAAUGCUUACAAUUGGGGAAAAGUUCGAUCACCUUCAACUCUCCAUGACUUGUUUCUACAAGAAUUAGAGCCGGACCAUUGAGUCGGCUAAAGUUAAAGAAAUGACAUAAGUAAAUCUUUUCUUGGAUAUCAAUAUAGUUGCAUCUUACUAGGCAUAUUGGUAUUUUACUGGAGGCAUAAUAGUUGUAUGUACUUCAUUUAUCCUUUAGGGCCCGUUUGGUUCGAGUUAUGUAAUAUUACAAAGUAUCUCGACAUAUCCAGGUAUCUUGGAUUUCGGCGUGCGAUUACUACUGAUGCUGUAUUAGAGCGUUUGGUUUAAUACAGUAAUGUAAUACUAGAUUACAGUGUUUAUAGCAUUAAUAUGUUUGGUUCAGUUUAUAAAAUUUAGUAAUCCUGACAUAAAAGUAUAGUUUUUUUCAAAAUUGUCCUUGUUGUGGUCAUUUGAAUAUUAUUUUUUGCGGAAAUAACGAAUGGAGGGAAGGAGAUCGUGAUGAUUACUUGGAAGGACAACGCAAUAGAAGAUGAUAGGUGUUCGUGCGUGAGAGAGAGAGAGAGAGACGUCGAGAGAGAGAGCAAGAGAAAGUGGCGUGCGAGAGAGAAGGCCGGGGGGAAGGAGAGAGAGAUAUGAAAAUAAUGCUGUUAAUUAGAUUUGGGGUUGUUGGAGGGUAAAAUUAUCAUUUUACAUAAUAUGUAGUAUUAACGGGUUUCAGUAAUGCAAGAUACACGACCCCCCUCCCGUUAAUAUUUUCGAUGUAAUCCUGCUCGAUUUGUAAUGCUACAUUAACGACUAAAUUACAUAGCGGAUUAACCAAAUACAGUUAUCCUGGCAGGAUUGCCUGUAAUCCUGCCAGGAUAACUCGAACCAAACGUACCCUUAUUGCAGUAGUAAUUUCCAUUAUUUACUAUCAUUCUACUUUUGCCUUCUUCGAACCGAGUGAGUAUAGAGUGCCACUUUCGGCGGUUACACCUACUGCAAAUUUACUUUAAGUUCUCACUAUGACAUCCCAAUAAUCCCACAUUGGAUAAUGUGGGAGGAUGUGAUGGAUUUAUGAGUGAAUUACUCACUGGUAAUAAUAACUGGACUUAAGUUUUUUGGGCCUGUAGUUUGGGCCCAAUGAGUUAUUAUUGCUAGCGGGUCAAAUCGUUACAUUUGGCAUCAGAGCCUGAUAAUCGGUCGGAAGUGUGAAAUGGAUCUCACAUCGUCUGGUGCAUCUAGAGUUAUGUGAUCUGGCAAGGCUAACAAAGAUGUCGAGGCCUAAAUGAGAGGAGUAUGUGACAUCCUAAUAAUCCUACAUCAAAUAAUGUGAGAGAGUAGUAGGUUUAUAAGUGACGAAUACGCUAAUAAUAAUAACUAGACUUAAACAUUUUAGGUCGGUUGUUUGGGCCAGAUCCUAAGCUAAAGCCAAAAUCCUCGAAUAUCAUCGAAAAUGGUUGAUCUCUCUCUUUUUCCAUCGUUCUUGAUUUAAUUAGCAUGCUAAAUUAGUAAAUAUUACCAUAAGUAUAAUUUAAUUGCAUGCUAGAAAAGAAUUAGAGUUCAUGAGGAUGGAAAAUUGGUACAAUGUAUGUAAUAGUGAUGAGAAUGUAGAAUAUAAAUUAAAAUGAGUAGCAUCUAAAUUUAGGUCAAAAUCUAAGGUGAGACAUAGAGACAUGAAUUCUAGGUUAAAUGUGAAUUAGAGAACAAAUUGGUGCAUACUGGACAUGUGCUAUAACCCUAGAAGUCAUCGAGCUUAGGGUGUGCGAUAACUCUAGAAGACAUCAAACUUAGGGUGUCAUGGUAUGUAUCGACAUGUGCUAUAACUCUAGAAGUCAUCGAAUUUAGGGUGUCAGAGUGUGUUAUGACAGCAACCUUCUGGAAGUCUCUUUGGGAGUACUGAUCAUCCCUCGGAUGCCUCGUGUGCAUUGGGAGGGCCGAUCAUUCCUCUACUCCCAUUAUGCUCCAGAGUGUCGAUGCCUCUUGACUCCACAUAUGGCACUUGGCGGGGCAACCUCCCUCGAUUCUAAGUGCUAGCCAAGUGGAAAGUAGUAUGAUCCCCCUCGGCUCUCCGUGAGGUGCAGUGUGUAAAGAAAUCAAUCAAGUAGAUGCUCGAGACAUGACGUAAUUGGAUAAACCUACAAGUAGUGGUACAGUUGCAUCUUGAGCAUUUGAGGCAUUGUAGCAAUAAAUUCUAUUAAUGCAUCCCUAAUAUGGAUUUAAUUGUUGUUAAAUACCUAUCUACUAAUGCUCCUUUUGACCAAGUGUAGAGGACUAUUCUCAGUGGUUGCACCCACUAAGAACUUCUAGUAGUUCUCACUCUCUAUGGUUUACCAAUUUUUCAGAUCCUGGCAUCGCCGGUGAGAUAUGUGAUCACAGCAAAGGCAUCGCAAAGUAGAGGACCGCAGAGAGGUCUCAAUGUACCCUUUUACUUUUGAAAAAAUAAUUAAUGUGAUGUGAUAUUUUGGAAUCAAACUUGUAAACUUAAAAGAGGUUUAUUUACGAAGCGUGCAAGUAGUUGUAGUAUUUAAAUGUUUCUUUUGAAGUCGAAUGUUUCAAGUAGAGGUAGAGUUUAAAUAAUUAAAGUUGAAUGUUCAAUUUAGUAGUGCACUCUGAUAUUUGCUUUUACAAAUAUUAUAUAUGAAUGUAUAAGUUGAUAUAUGUUACCAUUUCUUUCGCAUAGGGGAGGGCUUGCCUGUUCGGCAGGUCUGGACGCAUACCCAACAGACCAAAUUGGGCGGUCUUGGGGAGUUACAUGCACCCUCCGUGACGAUUUGCGUCGAUAUGCAAACUUAACACAGCAUAGGGGCAUCACUAUAUAUGUCACUACUAGAAAAUUAGUCAUUAGUGGCAUUAAUUUAUGCUGCUAAAUGAUCAACAAAUGCUGCUAAAAGUUUUAGCAGCAUAUGAUACCAAAUGUUGCCUAUGCCAAUAUUGCUAAAAGUAUUAGCAGCAUUUAUUAUAAAUGCCGCCAAUAUAAAUCAAUUAGUGUCAUUAGGAAUAUGUCGCUAAAAGGAUUAAAUGUUGUUUGUUAGUGGCACAUAAAUAUAAUGCCGCUAAUACAAAUAUCUGAUUUUAGAAAUUAAAAUUUUAAAAUUUUAAUUUUAUUUUAAAUUUUUUUGUGAUGCUACCCACUUCGUUUAUUUCUUUUAGAAAUAAACUUUGCUAGAAAUGUGAAUCAACUAGAUUCGAACUUGAAACCUCGAGUACCAACCACCAAGCCCUUUGCCACUUGCGCUAGCGACGAUUAAUUAUAGAUAUUUUAAUUUUUUUAAUUUUAAGUCUUCUAUUUUAAAAUUUUAAAUCUUAAAAUUUUAAAUUUAUAUACUAAUUUUAAAUUUUUAAUUUUCAAAUAUCAAAUUUUAAGUUUCAAAAUUAAUAGUUUUAAAUUUUAAAUUUUAAAUUUUAAAAUUUUAAAAUAAAAAGUAAAAAAUUUAAAAUUUUAGAAUUUAAAAUUUAAAAUAUAAAUUUUAAAAUUUUAAAUUUUAAAUUAUAAGUUUAAUUUUUUAAAUUAUAUGUUUCGAAUUUUAAACUUGAAUUUUAAAAUUUUUAAUUCUAAAUAAAAAGGGAUAUAUUAAUAAUUAUAUAACAAGUGCUGCUAGUUUAUUAUAUUUAGCGGCAUUCACUAAUUUAUGCUGCUAAUUUAUCCUAUUUUGCAACAUUAAUAGCAAAUUGCUGCUAAAUAAUUAAAUCUAGCGGUAAUUAUCAAGUAAUGCUGCUAAAUGUAUUAAUUGGCAUGAUUUAAAUAAAUGUUGCGGAGCAAAUAUUACGGCAUUUAGCAAUAAGUGUUGUUACUUUAUUACAUUUAGUGUCAUUUUUUAUAAAAUGCUAGAAACUUCAGCGGCAUUCACUAAUUUAUGCUGCUAAUUUAUUCUCUUUUGCAAUAUUAAUAGUAAAUUACUGCUAAAUUAUUAAAUUUAGCGGCACUUAUCAAGUAAUACGGUUAAAUAUAUUCAUUAGCGUUAUUUAAAAAAAUGUUGCGGAAUAAAUGCCGCUAAAUCAUAAUUUUGUUGUAGUGGUGGCUCAACUCGAUUUUCCGAUAUUUUUUGGUGGUGAUCCAUUAAGUUGGAUUUUUUUGGCAAAGUGAUUUUUUUAUUAGCAGUGCACACCGAAGGAAAAUAAAGUUCAAUUAACAUCUCUUCACAUGACCGGUGAAGUGAUUCAUUGGGUUGGAUAGUACAAAAGUCAGAUUGCUCAGCCUUCCUCCAAAGAAUUUAAAAAAGCUUUUACGGUACAGUUCAGGCCAUCUCAAAUUAUAAACUUUGAUAUUGCUCAUGCUGAUAUCUCUGAAACCAGUUCCAUUAGCCCUUGUUUGGUUGGGGUUAAGAGGUGGAAUAACUCCUUAACCCUCAUUUUAUCUCCAAAUAUCUCAAAAAAUAGGUGGGGUUAGCUAACCCCACCUAAUCCCACCUCAAGUAAAUUAUUCCGGGUUAGCUAACCCCACCUAACCCCACCAAAUUUUAACCAAAUAUUAUUUUCUAUUCAUAAUAACCCACUAUCUUUCUUAUCACACCUACUCCAACCAAUCAUUAUUCUUUUUUAUUAAUCAUUAUCUUCUUAUCCCACCUACCCAACCAAACACUAUUUUUCAUUAUUCUAGACUAACUCCAACCCCCAGCCAAACACACAAAAAUUUUAACCCCACUUUAACCCUGAACUUAACUCUAUUCCUGGAAUAGCUAUUUUUUUCUUAACCCCGAACCAAACGGAGGCUUAGUGAGUAUCAAGCCGAGCUUGAAUAUCUCAACAAUAUGGGGACCAAAUGGCUGCAAGCGAUAUCUCUCAAACUAGUUCAGUUCGUGAGUAUCGAGCUGAGUUUGAAUAUCUCAACAAUUUGGAGACCAAAUGGCUGCAGGAGGCUUUGAUAGGGUGUUUUAUUAGAGGCCUUCGAAAAAAUAUAAAGAUUGAAGUAACAGCAAAGAGACUCAUUAUACGUACUGACUUGAGCUUUUUAUGAGGUCUGCGCGAUGGAAGAGAAAAUUGAAAGACAAGAUAAUUAAGUUUUAUAUCGAAAAAACAACUACCAUAAACAACCAAUCUCUUCCUCCAAAUACGAAAAUCUGGAAGUUGACUAGUAUCUAAUGAAGGAAAGGCAAACAAACUAUGCUACAAUUAUGAUGAAAAAUAGACCAUCAAUGGUAAGUGUAAGACCAAUAAUUUGAGAUUUUGUAUAAAUACCCUAUAUGAUACAGUGCCACAACUUGAGGACCUACUUUCUAACGAAUCACACCUUGGGGACAAGCUAUGACUCAAAGGGGAAGGAAUUGUUACAAUCAUGAAGCCUAACCUCUUUUUGUUAUCUAGUAUUCUUCUUGUUAUAUUAGAAUUACUCUCUUAAUUAAAUUAGAAUAAUUAUUAUAUUUUAAGUAUCUUAUUAGAUUAGAAAUAUUUUUUGGUUUUUUUUCUAUUGUUAUUUAGUUUUCUUAUCAUAAUUAGAACGAUUAUAAAAAGGUUUAUGUAAUAUACCAAACUUUCGCUAAAUUGAUGAAGAAUAGAUUAAGCCAUUUUAGACACGAUUGAAAUGGUUUUUGAUAAAUUUAUACUGAGUAUAUAUGGAUAGAAUAAUUUUUCAAAAUUCAAAAUACUUAUUAAGUUCUAAACCUUUUCGAACACUCGGAACAGGAGAUAGGGCUCCUAUUGGUUUUGGACAGUCCAUUGCAACGCCCUAAUCCUUUCGAAUGUGAAUUUAGAGAGCAGAGUUUGUGAAAGGCCACUUUUAGGCACCCAGAUUAUCCUGUGGGCGCCCGGAUCUUUUCGAAUCCAACUAGAGGACAUCUGGAAUACUUUCGGAUGCUCAAUAUGAGAGCUCGAUGCAUGCAGGAUCAAACAUUCGAGCAUCUAAAUGGUCCUGUGGGCAUCCAGAAGAUCUUUCGGACGGUCCCUCAUAGGCAUCUGAACGAUUUUAGGAUGCGCAACUCGAGGCCCUGAUUACAUAAGAGAAUAAACAAUCAAACUUAUCUUGUCUUUCAGGCUCAAAAGUUCAGGCGGGCGCAUGAAACUAGGCGUAAAAGGUUGCAAAUAAAAAGAGUUAGAGCGUUUAAAUGCUAUUAUAGCACCAUUAAGGUAUGGUUUUCAUAGUGAACCCUAAUCUCACAGCCCAUUUUCCUUUUUUUACUCUCUCUCUUCCUCUCUCUCUAGACAUAGAGCACUAAAAAUCCCUCAUUGUUGGAGCACGGGGAUUCAUCCCUUUGAAAGCUUGGAGGAGGCUACAACUUUAAGAAUAAGAGCAGCACUACAACAGAAUUAGGGGCAAAUUUUUUGGACACUUUUGUGUGAGUAUCUCCAAAAUUUUUUUAAAAAAUCUACUAAGCUCUAAAUAUAAAGCCCAAUCCAACUAAAAACAAAAAGUUACUCUACUCAACCUACCCCACCCAGCCCACUAGGCCCGAAUACAAACAGAAAAGAAAAAAAAAAAAUCGAUCACCAUCUCCCCUUCUUCCCUUACUCAAUCAUCUGAAACCCUAAACGAAGAGUCCCUCACUCUCCUCCUCCUCCGCCGUCGUAGCCGACGAAGUAGGGUUCUGGCAGCUGCUAAAUGCUUAAAUAGAUGUAGCAGCAUUCUUUUUAGGUUAUACGACACUCUUAAAUUGUCACUAUAUACAACCCCACAUAUAGCAACAUUUUUAAAAGUGUCGGUAAUUUAGCCAGCAGCACUUUUUAUUAUCUAUACCGAUAUUUAAAAGUGUCGCCCGGGAAGAGUUGCACGAAGAGGGUUCGCAAACUCCACCAUCUUUGCAUGGAGCAGACUCGAACAGUGUCCACACAUCUAGUGCUUCCAGAUAUACACCGUUUUUGUUAUAGUGAAGAGGGUGAAAGCAACCUCUCACGCAUUUUUCCUAUGCCAGGGUGAAGAGAUGUGAGUUAGUAUUUUUACGAUUUUAUUUUAGAGUUUUCCUAAAUGUGAAAUUUUUGAUAUUCUAAACUCAUUGGAACUAUUUUUAGGAUUUUUUUGAUAUUCUCAAGAGGUCAAGAGUGUGAGACCCCAGAUAGUCCUAUAUAUAAGAUAUAAUAGGGCUAAACUCUUAACCCGGCUUAAACAUUUUGGGUGGUGGCUAGAUCCAAGAGGUUAAGAGCGUUAAGCGUGCUAGGACGGGAGUAGUCCUAGGAUGGGUGACCCUAUGGGAAGUCAGGGCGUCACAAAUGGUAUCAGAGCCAAUUACCAGCCGGAAGUGUGAGAUGAGUCUCGGCUGAGCCAGGGUCUGGAUGACGGGCUAGCGAGACGAGUCUCACAUCGUCUGGUACUUGUGAGUCUGAGCCUGACGAGGACGUCAGGGCUUAAAGGAGGGGAGAUUGUGAGACCCCAGAUAGUCCUAUAUAUAAGAUAUAAUAGGGCUAAACUCUUAACCCGGCUUAAGCAUUUUGGGUGGUGGCUAGACCCAAGAGGUUAAGAGAGUUAAGCGCGCUAGGACGGGAGUAGUCCUAGGAUGGGUGACCCUAUGGGAAGUCGGGGCGUCACAAAGAGGCAACUCUUUUUGAAGAAUCAAGAGAAAAUAUGGAAUAUCACCAAAAAGGGUUUGAUCUUCCCAUUGUCUAUAAUUUUUUUGGAUUAUUAACAUGUAUUAUCGGCAAUAAAUACACUAAAUGUGAUUUUAAUUGCAUACUACGAUCUAGUGGGUCAAAGGGGCUUUUGAGCACUUGACCUAGGGUAAUAGAUCGAGUUUCUAACCCUCUAUUAUAGAAAAAGAAAAUUAUGUGGCAUGAAAGUGUAAUGGGAACUUGGAACAUAGUUUAAACAAGUAUGUGAUUUAAUCUAAAUUGAAACAUAAGGUGUAAACAUAAUGGCAUAUGAAUUCUUGACUAAACAUGAGCUAGAGAAUAAGAGAAUGGUAAAUGAACAAUGUGGACAAUCCUAGAAGUCAUGAACUUAGGAUAAAAUGAUCAAACGUGUAACCUUCCAGAAGUAUCAAAGUAAGGAAGAAGUUCGACAGCAAUCAACACCUGAUGAGAUAGUUGAGGGAGUUUGAGAGCAAUCGACCCUAUUUACCUACUGAUUGGAAAAAAGUCCGAGAGCAAUUGACUCUCCAUGAGGUGUAAUAAGAAAGAAAAUCAAACUAAUAAGUUGGUUAAAGUAAGAAAAUUAUUGAGAUGUAUGUGUAAGUAAAGAAGAAAAUUAUUGAGAUGUAUGUGUAAGUAAAGGACAUAAAAAACUUGAUUGUAUAUUGUAUAUAGUGAGGCAUAGUAGAUAUUUGCUGCUUAUUACAUUUCUUUUGUACGUACUAAUAGCUGCUAUUAUUACUUACUACUAAUGUCUCUUGUGAACCGCGUGAGUGUAAAGCGCCACUUUCGACUAUUGCACUCACUACAACAAAAAUGGUCUAUAGCGACACUUUUAAAUGUAGGUACGUGUCAAAAAAGUGCUGCUGGCUAAAAUUACCGACACUUUUAAAAAGUGUUGCUAUAUGUGGGGUCGCUAGGUAUAUAGUGACAGUUAAAGAGUGUCGCUAUAACCUAAAAGAGUGCUACUAAUUUACCAACACUUAUUUAAGCAUUUAGCAACAGCCGAAACUCUAUCUCGUUGGCUGCGGUGGCGGAGGAGGACGACAGUAAAGGCUCUUCAUCUAGAAUUUCAGUGGAUUGAGUGAAGAGAGAAGAAAAGAUGGUAAUUGAUUUUUCUUUUUUUUUUCUUUUCUGUUUGUAAUCGGGCCAAAUGGACUGAGUGUGGUGAGUUGAGUAGAGUAAUCUUUUAUUUUUGGUUGGAUUGGGCUUUAUAUUUAGGCAUUAGUAGAUGCGUUUUUAAGUUUUAGCAUAAAUGAGACACUUACUCAAAAGUGUCCCAAACAUGUGUCGCUAUAACCUAAUUCUGUUGUAGUGACUUACUAGAAACUCAUCCUCGAUCGCCCCCUUAUGGUUGUUAAUUUUCAGAUCCGAUUAUCAUCGGUGAGGCGCUGGACCGUAGCAAAAACAUUGCUGAGUAGUUAACUAGAUCAUUGUGAGUCGGUCUAGUGAGAGUUCUCCUUUUUUUUGGUUAAAUAAAAAUAAUGUAACAUUUUAAGAGAAACGAGUGUUGUAAAACUUUAAGAGAAAAAGUUGUAAUGGUUUUGAUUCAACAGUAUUGCUUUGAUGCUUCAUGUAUCCAUAUCUUGUAUGACUUGUACAUUUUGGUAUAUGUUUUUAUUUCAUACGAGUAGGAAAAAUGUUGUUCAUUCAGCGGGUCUAUUACACGUGCCCGAGCGGGCCCAAUUGGCAAACUCGGAAUGUGACAGUUUAUAAAUAAGUUAUAUCCAAGUUCAUUCUAACAUAGUUUUUGAAUAUUAAUAAAGUUUUAAUAGUUUUUCAAUAACAAAAUAGGCAUAGAAGUAGUGAUAAAAUAAUCAUGGGAGGCAUCUGAUCCCUCGAAGAAUCACGACAAGUGUAAGGGCAUGAACAAUCCCUAACAGAACUAGCAAGAUGAUUAACUUUGUGUUUGAUUGAGAAUUGAGUUAAGUGUUUGAAUGAUUCGACUAGAAUAACAAAAAUAGGAGUACUUAUUGUUAGAAAUUCCGUGCGAUAAGCACAACAAAAAAGAAAAAUCAAAAAAAUUUGAUUUUUAAAAACUCGAUAUCCGAUCUCAAAUACCACACAAAUAGGAUCCCUCAUGUUGUUUAAGAUUAAAAGAGAAAAAGAAAAUCUAAUCUUCACCUUUGCGUGGGUAAAUCUACAUCGCAAUCUCAUGAUCAUGGAAUUGGUUCUCUUAAAGCUGCACAAGUGUCCGACCUCUAUAGGUUUCCACACAAAAUCACCGAUCUGAUCGAUGUCCUCACCGGGGAGCUAGCUCCCUUGCAAAGAACGUCAUUUUUGCCAGAAAAUCGAAGAGAAGAAAAGAGAAAGGAAGAGAGAUGACGGCUAGGGUUCUAUAAAAACUUCCAUAUAUUAUAUAGAGGGAGAUAAUUCUCUUUUUAAUAAUAUAAUAACCAUUAAGGAUAAGAAUAAAUCUAGAUUUAUUUACAUCUAGAUUUACCCUUUCAUUAAUUAGUUCAAUCGAUUAAAUCCUAAUUUAAAUCGACUUAAACUCAAUCCUAAUUUGAUCAAAUCAAAUUAAUAAUGCAAUAUUUGCACAUAAGUCCUCUCACAACUGAUUAACUAUUAGUAAGUCCUCUCUUGCAACAUUUGUAAUUUAAUACCACUAAUUUGUAAUAAUUACAGAUUAGUCUAAUUAUCAACAUUUUGAAAAUGAACUCCUCCGACGAUUUAAAAAUUGUGAUUCAGCUAUUUAAUCAGUCGCAACCUCUUAUGUGUUUUACCCCAUAGGUUUUACUAUAUCUAGUAGUGGGAUAUAUUCUGAUCACUAUUAACAAUAUCACUGAAACUCUUUUUAAUGGGUUGGAACAAAUCUAACUCUACCCAAUGAGAAUUAUCGAUCAUCUAUAUAAUUUUCAUGAGUCUCACAAUCCACCAGUGAUGCUUAGCAGCAUGUAGUGGCUGUCACGCCCCGGAUUACUCGUUUUUCCGGGCACGCCGACAAAUCCGCCGUAUACAAAGAAAUUUUCCCUGUAUACGAAACGAUAGCUGUACUCGUAAAUAAAUCAUGCUACAACCACGAGAUAAUGAGCUGCUAAACUGAAAAACAUAUAUAAAUAAACAUCGGGUUCACUAUACAUAUAUAGUCUCCAAAUGCAACAUCACUCGCUCCAGAGAGGAUCAAACAUCAAUAUGUACAUGACCCAAAAUCCAAAACUACCUGUAGCUAGUACUCUCUAAAGCAGCAACAAAACUGGAAGUGAUCUAGCUCAUGACUCCCUUUCCACGAUCAGAAUCAGCAACAGCUGCAGCCGCAGAGGAAGGCUCUGCAAAGAGGGGUUAACAACUGGGUGUGAGAACUACUGUAAAAAGUAGUAGUCCUCACUGGCUACCGCUACCGACCUCAACGGCUCACCUACUAAGUCUACAGAAGUAUGCUCAAGGAUAGUAAAGAAAGCUGAAAAACUCUAUAGCUAUAUGCCCCUAUACUAUCACGAUCCAACACUAAACUAUCUGUAGAAAAACAUGCAAUCUCUGACCCAAUCUCACUAGGAACUGUGAACACACCCGUCCCGCCUGUCGAAGCUAUACUAACUACCACCACGCUGGGUCGUCAGUGGAGAGCGAGUCCAAACAGGACACAACGACAACAACGCAAAAGCACAAAGCCCGACUACGGAGUGGCACUCGUGGGCGCUACCCAACCGAGUAUGCAAGCGUAUCUCUGACGAGUUCAAUCAGGCUCUCACAGGCUAUAGUCAAAGCAGAAGGGUCUAACUGAUCUAACAACUAUAAUAAACAUGUCAUCGGCACAAUCUGAUGCAAAAACAGCAAACUCGGUCCACUGUCAAUCACAACGGCACCCGACAGUCCGGAAUAGACUAUACACUACUGUAAAAAUAAACUCGGCAUCCCAGUACGAGCAUAAAUUCAUUCUACACUAUUCUGGAUAUCCACCGCCUACAAACUGCGGCGACACAAACAAACUACAGCUCCUAAAGCUAAAUAUGGUAGUUUUCAGAAAAUAACAGUGUAGAACCUAUAGUUUUCUCCUAAGUCAAAUCCAAGUCCAACAAGUAUAAUAAAACUAGCAUUCAAAGCUCCAAUUCAGAUUUCAUUUAAAAACAAUGCAAAUCGGCGAAUCGAGCUAUUAAACAUGAUAUACGAAACCAAAAAUACAUGCUGUCAACUCCGGCUUAGGAGGAAAUCCGACAAUUUCGGUAAACAUUAACCCACCUCGAAAAGUUAUUCCAAUAACGACGAGAAAAUGCAAGGAAAGGAAGUCACGCGCUCGCCCGGCCUCCAAUGGCGCUACCACGACGCACGCACCGCACGCACGCUCGAACGGCUCCCCGGCGCAGCGUCGGCGUCGAUCCGAACUCCAACCGAGGACUCCACCUUGCUCAUGAUCAAAUACUAGAGAGAGAGAGAGCACAACAAUAAAACCCUCCAUCUCUGCCUCUCUAUCCAUAUAUAAAAGAUGAGGAUAAGGGUGAAGUCCACAAGGUAGCAAAAGACCAAACAGCCCCUCACCUACCCUGGAGUACCGGUAUCAGGUCGAUGCCGUACCGGUACCCAGCAUCAGAAAUUGUAACCCGAGAGCAGCAGUUCGCAGAAUACGCUGGGGUACCGGUACGCCCCUGUGUGGUACCGGUAUGCAAUACUGAAAACCUGCAAUUUGCAGAUUUCAAUGCUAAAAUCCUGCUCUCGCAUCGCAACGAGUCCGUUUUGCGUCUAUUUCGCGCCCAAACGACUCGUACUUGUCCCGACACUCUCCAGAUGUGUCGACAAGCCUCAGAUGCUGAAAUCUCACUACUGCAGAACACCAGAGAUACUACAGUGGCAUUUCGAUAUAAUGAAAUACUGAACCUCUUGGCGCAGUUACCAUAUGAUACAGUCCUUCUAUCAUAAGUCCCGACUAGACGGAGGUCAUAGAAUAACUCGUCAAAUCCCAUCGUCUGUCAUAUGUCAAAUUUAUUUGACUCUAGUUUCUAAUAUCGAAAAUCCUUUUUCACUAUUAACUCUGCCCUGGCCAAGGUCUUCUAAACUCGGUCUUAUAAAUCAUAUAGGACUAAUGCCCUUAUCUACUUAGAGAGAUAGACUAUAUAGGUGCACACCCUAUUCCUACAAUGAACCUAUUGCAGCCAACAUGCACCGCAAGGACGCGAAUAGCUAGGGACCAAGUAUAUGUACAAUCAAACUGCAGUAACCUCAUCGCGAAUAGCCGAGGCACCGCAGGUCAAAGGACCAGUCACACUACUGCAAUAUUAAGUAAGUCAUUGACGAGUGAGUAGACAUCCAAGUGAUUUCUCGCAUUGGUCACGCCUGAUACCCUUGUUCUUUAACAACCACCUGCAAAUUCACGCCAGUGUCCCUACACUGUUGACUAGAGACUCGCCUACCUGAAACGGGAAGCGACCUGUACACCAAUUUCACUAGAUCAAUCACCAUCCCCAUGCCAUCGAUCGAGAGCAUUUAGGAAUUAACCACCAAUGACACAUGUCUCAAAUUCUCAACUCUUGAGAAUACGUGUUAUCAUCUUAUUAAUUCUUUGGACGAUUUAUGGACACAUACACAACAUGAAUUGAAAUAAUAACCCAAAUUUAUUGAUAAUAUUUUAAAUCAAAUAUAAAUUUAUAUCUGAAAAAAUACAUGUGUCGGCUUGAUUGGCUUCUAGGGCAUACAUCUAACACUUAUAAUUUUUAAAAAAUAUAUAUUUUUUCCUAUUAACGUAUUUCAAAUUAUUAAUUAAUAUAAUAAGUUAAUUAAUUAAUUAACAAUGAUCAAAUGAGAAAAUAGGGAAGCACAUUAAAUUAGUUAAUUAACUAUAAAAAAUAACUCAAAAUGUUAAUUAACUAAUUAAUUAGUAAUCAUUUAAUAAGCUAGAUAAUUAUUUAAUAAAUUUAUUAAAAUAGUCAAAAUAUUAAUUAGUUUAUUAUUCUGCAUAUUAUUUAAUGGAUAGGGACAUCAAAUGGUUAAUAAUUAAAUUAGUUGCUUAAUUAUAAACAAUAAAUUAAUUGCUCAAGUGGCUAGUUCAAUGUUUGUUUUAUUUUUUAAUAAAUUGAAUAGUUAAUUAGUUAGCUAGUAAGUAAAUAUUAAAUAAGUUAAUAUAUGAUAUGUUAUUAUUAAUAUCAUAUAGUUAUUUAGAACUUAAUUAUUAAUUUUUGUAGAGGAAAAAGAAAAAAAUAAUAAUAGUUCUUCCAUAACGCCUCUCUUAAAAUGUAUCCUAGAAUAACCCGUUAAAACGGAGACUAGUGUUAGGUAACCAAACCAAUUGAGGGAAUAAGGAAAAUAAUACUCAUUAUUCCCAAAUAGGAGCUUAGAGUAUUAAUGGUAGCAUAUGCAAUCAUAACCUAUUUCCAAACUUAUGUGAGUUGAACGAAUACGAUAAUUACCGAAAUUAUAAAAUUUAUCCCAAGUCUCAAGUUUACCAAUUCAAGAAAACUUUUGGCAGCAUUUUAUUUUGUAGUUGAAUAGAUUUUUUUUCUCUAUCAAACCAUUAAAAAUGGAAUUGUGCUUACAACAUUCUACACGUGCUUAAAAUGAAUCUUAUCAGUACACACACUCUGCACGUUCUUAAAAUGAUCUUACGUAUUUAUAUGUAGAAACAUUGGUAUUUAAUGGUCACUAGAAAUCUCAGCCAAGUUAUGAACUAUGUACAUUUGACUUGAGCGUAAAAUAAUUUGACAAAUUUAUUAUUUGUAGAAAGUGUUAUCAUCGCUUACUGAAAAUCUCACCUCACUUUUGAAUACGGUCGGACACUACUAUUUGCGGAAACAGUAGUAUUAGCCCACAAUGGAAAUUAAUCUCAUCUGAAUUCUGAACUGCAAUUAAACAUUCUACAGUACUGCAUAUAAGAAACAUUACACUUCUAUCACUACAACAAAAACGGUCUAUAGCGACACUUUUAAAUGUAGGUACAUGUCAAAAAAGUGCUGCUAGCUAAAAUUACCGACACUUUUAAAAAAUGUUGCUAUAUGUGAGGUCGCUAGGUAUAUAGUGACCGUUAAAGAGUGUCGCUAUAACCUAAAAGAGUGCUGCUAAUUUACCAACAACUUAUUUAAGCAUUUAGCAUCGGCCGAAACUCUAUCUCGUUGGCUGCGGUGGCGGAGGAGGACGACAGGAAUGGCUUUUCGUCUAGAAUUUCAGUGGAUUGAGUGAAGAGAGAAGAAAAUAUGGUAAUUGAUUUUUCUUUUUUUUUUCUUUUCUGUUUGUAAUCGGGCCAAAUGGACUGGGUGUGGUGGGUUGAGUAGAGUAAUAUUUUAUUUUUGGUUGGAUUGGGAUUUAUAUUUAGGCAUUAGUAGAUGUUUCUUUAAGUUUUAACAUAAAUGGGACGCUUACUCAAAAGUGUCCCAAAUAUGUGUCCCUAUAACCUAAUUCUGUUGUAGUGUAUUUGUAAAAGUAGUGGUAUCUGCACACCCAGAAUAUUACCGAG